rnacentral:lncRNA from 1 species
UAUCAUCUACCUAAGUUUCUUCGGCGCCUUAUCUGAGCUUCCAUUUUGUGAGGGUUAGGAUACAAAGUAGGUGGAGUUUGAAAGGAGAUCCAAACUUCAUAUUGUCAAUAUCACUGUGGAAGCAUUCAUAGGCACAGUUGCUAAAAGAAUAAUUUUGUUUGAUAUUGUCAAUGUUUAUGUUCAGUUUAAUUCUUGCUAGGUGCUAAUGUACAUUAUGCUUCGAUUUGCUAAAAAGGGGAGCUAAUUCAAAUUUCAGAAGUUUUCUAUGCUGCAAGAUUCUCUAAUUUGUGUUCAUAUCUUGAGAUUGUGCCAACAACUGAUGGGGCUGAAUAAACCUGUCAGUUUUAGUAUUUUUCUUUACUUUACUUAGAGCCGUCAAUCUGGGCUAGGCCUGUUGGGCUGGCCUAGCCUAACCCGGGAUUUAAUAGGGCUGGGCUAAAAAUUUUGGACCCCAUUUAAGAAAAGGGCUUUUUAGCCCGGCCUGAAUAAGCCUGCUGAUUUGUGGGGCUUGAGAAAUAUAGGUAGGGCCGGCCCGUGGGCUAAUACAAAUUAAUUAAAAAAUAUAAUAUAAUAUUAAAAUUUAAAAUUAAAGAGAUCCAAACUCAAAAUCUAUUUAAAGUUUUUUAGGAAAUCACUAAGUAUAGAAGUUGCAUCCACCAUGAAAAUGUCCAAACACUUGUUGCUACUCGAAACUGGUUACAUGGUUUUUCUCAAACUGGUAAUAUAUUUUUGUGUACAUUUAAAUAUUAUAAUUCUCAAUUGAGUUAUUUUUUAAUAUUUAACUAAUUGAAACGGCAUAUAAAUUGCAGAUGUUAAGACAACCUUCCCACAAGUCACAAGUUGAUUCAGAUAUGCUUGAUGAAGAUAAUCAUGAAGUGUUAGAUACGUCAUAUGUUUCAUGAAGUGUUAGAUACGCCAUAAGUUUCAUGAUUUUUUAAGGAGUUUAUUUUUUACUUUUUUAUGGUUGGAAUAUUGUCAUAUUUUUUGUGUUUUAUUGUGAUCAUUGCAAAACAGUUAGGUUAAUAUUUUUAUUUAGAUAUUUAUAUUUUUACUUGAAUAAUUUAAUUUAAUAAUUAUAAAAAAUAUAUAUAACUUUUAAAAAAAUGGGUAGGCCCGGCAAGCCUGUAGCCCACGUACUUGUGGGUUGGGCCGACCGUUUUCUGGCCCACACAAAAAAUGGGCUAGCCUGGCCUAACCCGUAAAAUGUCAAAGUCUGUAUGGGUUAGCCCGGAUGGGGUGGGAUAGCCCAUAUUGACAGCUCUACUCUAUCAUUUAAAUAACGGAAAAGGAUCAAGAAUACCUCUGACCUAUUGGAAAAGGUUUAAAAAUACCCUUCAUCCACUUUUUGGUCUAAAAAUAUCCUCCAUUGGUAUUUUUGGUUCAAAAAAUACUUCUCCUUCCACCUUUUGGGCUAAAAAUACUCUCAACUCAAAUUCAAUUGAAUUAAAUUCUUUUACUUAUUAGUUGUUUUGAAAGAUAAAUUUUUAUUUAUUCAAAUUCUUAAUAUUAGCUCAUCUCAAAUAUUUAAAAUUUAUUAAGUCUAAUUAUAUUUAAAAUUUUAAAAAAUUCUUACGUUAUCAAAUAUUUUAGUAAAGAGAGUAAAAAAACAACAAAAUUUGACAAAAAAAGACCCCCUUUUUUAUGUCUUAUUUACCGUUGUCACUGACCCAAAAUAACGAUGACGAUGAUGAUGAUGAUGAUAUUAAUAAUAAUAAUAAUAAAAAAAAUUUAAAAACUCAUUUUUCCCUAUUUACAAUCAGUGAUCCAAAAUAAGGACACCACCCAUCACGAAAUUUUGAAAAAGAAAAAAAAUCUUUUUUGUUUCUUAUUUACGGUUACUAAUCAUAUCUAAAAUCCUAAAUAUUAGCUACGUAUAUAAUUAGUCAAAUUUUGUCUUUUUCCUUUAUUCCCUGUUACUAAAAAUAUUGACAACAUAACAAAUUUAAUAUUUUAUUUUAAAUAUAGUUAGACUUAAAUAAUUUAAAUAUUUUGGGAUGAACUAAUAUUACGAAUUUGAAUAAAUAAAAUAUUAUCAUUAAAACAAAUAAAAAGAAUUAGCUAACAAGUAAAAAAAAAGUUCAAUUCAAUUUGGGUUAAGGGUGUUUUUAGACCAAAAGGUGGAUGGAGGAGUAAUUUUGAACCAAAAGCAAAAGUGGAGGGUAUUUUUAGACCAAAAGGUGGAUGAAGGGUAUUUUUGAACCUUUUCCAAUAGGUCAGGGGUAUUCUUGACCCUUUUCCGUUUAAAUAAAAGUAUACUGGAAUCUAGUGUAUAAUUUAUAGUUUUUUCAAAAUUUAAUAUUUUUAACAGUUAAUUACGCUAAACAUUUUUAGAUAUUUAAUAUUGCUUAAAAAAAAGUCAAAUCAAAUUAUGUUGAUUUUUAAUUUAAAUAUUGAGGUUUUUUUUAAAUUUAAUUUGUUUUUUUUUUAUUUGGAGUAAAUAGCCUUGGUGCAUCCAAAAUUGAGUCAUUUUAUAGGAUAAUUUAGUAUAAUUAGUCAUAUUUUAAAGUCAAAUCUUUCGUUUGAAAGAAUUAUACGAUAAAUCGUGUAAAUGUUACAACACAAAAGUUUUGCAUGACUUGUAUCGUCGAAAUAUUGUUCCAAACAGCCUUCGUUUCUCUUGAAAAUAGAGUUCUAGUCAAAUUAAAUAUCUUAAUUAAUUUCUUUUAGUGCCUAGGGGUGUUCACAUGUCGGUUUGGAUCGGUUAUUAGUCAAAAUGAAAAUCAAACCUGUUAACUUAUGAUAUUCUGAAUAAUGACAAGUUGAAUUCACAUCGCAGGAAAUCAAGAGAAGAAACAAGAAGAUCACCAGCUUCACCAAAAAGACUGAGUGACACGAGCAAACCAUGGAAAUAGAUUGACCAAAUCAAAUCUAAAGGAUCGCACCAAUCAAGGAAUAUAUUGGCUCAUAAUUUGGCACAACCAUGGAACUGGAUCAACACACAAUCAAUCUAAAAGAUUGAUUCAAUCAGUCAUCAUAAGGAUCACACCAAUCAAGGAAUAGAUUGAUUCACAAUCUGCAGCAACCAUAGAAAUGGAUCAACACACAAUCAAUCUAAAAGAUUGAUUCAAUCAGCCAUCAUUCCAAAAGGAAAACAGCACCAGGCAAUCAAUUAGGACAACAAGCAAUUCACACUGAUUAUGGAACUGAUCAGGAAAGAUGACAGCUGCAAAACAGAAGGCUCAAGACAGCAAGCAGGAUCAAAAGAAGAUCAGCAAAGGAUUCUACAUCAGCAUUUGUUUCAAGGCAGAUUAAAUCAAGGAUCCAAGAUUCUCAAUCAAGGAAACAUUACAAAUCCUUGAUUGAAGGAAACUCCCUUGGGUUUUCCUUUCCUGUUAGAGCUAAAAACCCAUCGCAAUACUGAUAUAUAAAAGAAGACUCAGACCAACAGUUGAAAUUACGCACUUCACUUGAACUUAUAUUGUAAUCUUCUUUUAUCUUUCAUAAAAUUUUGUACACACUUGAGUGAACAAAUGAAAAGAAAAGAAAAAGAAAGAUCUGAGUGUAGGUUAUACAGGUAGAGGUUGUGUCAAAGAAAAAAAUCCGAUUUGCAUAUUAGACGGGGAUCUUAAUUGUAACAUUUUGUAACACUCAAGUUCUCAACAAGCUCUUAAGGAAACCCUUGUAACCCAAGAGGACUGGACUAGGCACCACAUCGGUGAUCUGAACCAGUAUAAAAAUACUCUGUGUUAUUUACUUACUGCAAGUUAUUAUUACUGUUUAUUUAUUCUACCAACGUGCAGGUGAGUCGACUGGCCAUUACAGAAAGUUGACUAAAGGAAAUUUUAAUUCACCCUCCCCCCUCUUGACUUUCAAUUAGUAUCAGAGCAGGUCUCACAUUUGAAGUGUUUAACCACACGUGAGCAAAGAUCCAAUGGCACACUAUUAGAUUCCUGGUGCUCUACUUCAAGAUGGACAUUCUUCACACCGACCACCAUACUUCAAUGGACAACAUUACUCUCACUGAAAAGACAGAUUCAAAAUCUUUGUCUCUUCAAAUUUCCUGGUGCUCUACUUCAAGAUGGACAUUCUUCACACCGACCACCAUACUUCAAUGGACAACAUUAAUAUCACUGGAAAGACAGAUUCAGAAUCUGUCUCUUCAAAUGAUCACCAAGCAUGGAUAGUGAUCAAGAAGGGCCCAAAGCCUAUUCCUGGACUAACAGACAAAGAUGGCAAUAAAAAAUCAUUUGAUCCUGAAUCAUUUGACAUCACUAAGGAGCAACAAAAGGUAAUUCAAACUAAUGCUAGAGCUAUAAGUUUGUUAUAUUGUACAGUGAGCGGAGCUGAAUAUGACAAGAUAUCAACAUGUGAAACUGCAAAAGAAAUGUGGGACAAACUAGAAGUGACUUAUGAAGGAACCACCAAGGUGAAGGAGGCUCAGAUCAGUUCACUAGUAAAUGAAUAUGAAUUGUUCAAAAUAGCCGAAGAUGAAACUGUAGAAACUAUGUUCUCAAGAUUCAGUAAAUUGUCUGCGAACUCAAAUCACUUAAAAUGGUGUAUUCAAAUGGACUUCAAGUUAAAAAAUUUGUUAGAAGUCUUCCCAAAGCUUGGGAAACUAAGGCUGCCAUUCUUGAAGAUGGAGAUCUGCAAAAAAUGACAUACGAUGAACUUAGAGGCAACUUGAUGGUCUAUGAACAGAAUCAUAUCAACAGGUACAAUAAAGAUGAUAAAAAGAAAACUGUGGCAUUUACAGCUGAGACAUCUGAAAUUGGAGAAGAAGUCGAUGAAAAUCAAGACGAAGGAAUGGCUCUUAUAAAUCGAGGAGUGAGACAAAUGCUUAGACAAAGAGGACAGAGACCUCAACAGGACUUUAAGAACAAUGAUUUCAAAAGAAAUGAUGAUCGCUGCUACUACUGUGGAAAACCAGGACACAUCAAACAAAACUUCCCAGAACGGAGAAGAAGAAACAAUCAAAGAAAUGAGGACCCUAAGAGUCUCGGAGCAUGGGAUCAAAGAGAAACAACCGACGAUGAUCAUGAUGAAAUGGUCAAUCUAUGUUUCAUGGCACUAGGUGAAACAAGUGAGGAGCAAUCUAAGAAAACCUACAAAAAGGGAAUGUGGGUACUUGAUAGUGGAUGCUCCAAGCAUAUGUGUGGAAAGAAAGAAAACUUCAAAACCAUCAAAAAAAUCGAUGGAGGAUUUGUAAGAUUUGGGGACAAUGCUAAAGGAGAUGUAACACGAGUUGGAACUAUUACUCUAAGCUCAUCAUGUGAUUUGGUUGAAGUAUAUCUCGUUGAAGGACUCAAGCACAAUCUUUUUAACAUCAGUCAACUAUGUGAUGCUGAAUUUCAAGUUACCUUCAAUACAGCAAGCUGCAUUAUCAAACAUUUUGAGAAAAAGCUCACUAUCAUUGGAGAUCGAGUAAAUAAUAUAUAUAUUUUAAAUAAUGUUGUUUUUUCAACUCUUACUUGUCUUACUGCAGUCACAAGUGAUCAUUGGCUAUGGCAUCGAAAACUUGGACACGCAAGUAUGCACGCUUUUGAGAAACUAUCCAGACUUGAACUAGUUAUCGGCUUACCAAAACUAAAAUUUGAUAAAGAUCACAUUUGUGACGGAUGCCAAUUAGGUAAGCAGACUCGUUCAUCGUUUAAAGUAAAAGACAUUGUAAGUACAUCUAAACCUCUUCAGCUUCUUCAUAUGGAUUUGUUUGAUCCUACUCGAACAGUAAGUAUUGGAGGUAAAAGAUAUGCUUUUGUAAUUGUUGAUGACUUCUCAAGGUUUACAUGGGUAAUUUUUCUCUCUCACAAAAAUGAAGCUUUUGCUAAUUUUGGAAGUAUUUUGCAGAAAAGUUCAAAGAGAAGCAGAUUAUUUUCUUACAACUAUUCAUAGUGAUCACGGUGGUGAAUUUGAGAAUAAGGCAUUUGAAGAGUUCUGUGCUCAAAAUGGGUUCACUCAAAACUUCUCUUCACCUAGAUCACCUCAGUAAAAUGGAGUAGUGGAAAGGAAAAAUCGUUCUUUACAAGAUACAGCAAGAACUAUGUUACUUGAUCGAAAUCUCCCUGACCAUUUUUGGGCAGAAGUUGUAAGCACUGCUUGUCACAUUCUUAACAGGUGUCUUAUCAGACCUAUACUAAAGAAGACUCAAUAUGAACUAUGGAGAGGUAAGAAACCAAACAUCAGCUACUUCCAUCCGUUUGGAUGCAAAUGUUUCAUCCACAAUAACGGUAAGAACAAUCUUGGUAAGUUCAAUCCUAGAAGUGACGAAGGUAUUUUUCUAGGUUAUGCUCCCAUUAGCAGAACCUUUCGUGUUUCUAAUAAAAGAACUUUAAGUGUUGAAGAAUCUGUCCAUGUGGUAUUUGAUGACACUAAUCCAAGAAUGCAGGAAAGUGAUGCAAGUGAGGAUGAAAUUGAAUCAUCCAAAUCAACAGAAGUCAUUUCUAACAUGUCCACUGAAAAUAUCACUGAAGAGCCGGCUACUGUAGAAGUAGAGUCGACUACUGCAGCUGACAAAACAAAUGUACCUAGAGAAUGGAGACACAAUGCAAGCUAUCCUGAAAACUUCAUUCUGGGAAAAUCAGAUGAUAAUAUUCAGACUAGAUCCUCUCUCAAGAAACAAGCUUCAUUAGCUCUCAUAUCUCAAAUGGAACCAAAACGAAUAAAUGAAGCAAGAUGAAUCUUGGAUACAAGAUAUGAAAGAAGAACUUGAUCAAUUCGAAAUGAAUCAGGUAUGGACUCUUACUGAAAGACCUAAGAACUGUUCUGUGAUAGGAACAAAGUGGGUUUUUCGCAACAAAUUGGAUGAAAACGGAAAAGUUAUCCUAAAUAAAGCCAGGUUAGUAGCUCAAGGUUACUCUCAGCAACAAGGAGUCGACUAUGAUGAAACCUUUGCUCAUGUAGCAAGGAUGGAAUCUAUUCGAAUUCUUCUAGCAUUUGCUUCUUUCAAUCGCUUCAAACUUUUUCAAAUGGACGUUAAAAGCGCUUUUUUAAAUGGAUUCAUUAAAGAAGAAGUUUUUGUUAAGCAACCUCCUGGUUUUGAAAAUCCAUCAUGUCCUGAUUAUGUUUUCAAAUUAUCUAAAGCUCUUUACGGUCUAAAACAAGCCCCAAAAGCUUGGUAUGAAAGUUUGAGCAUUUUUUGGAUAAAAAAUGAUUUUCUUAGAGGGAAAAUUGAUACAACCUUGUUUACAAAAAAAUCUGAUUCGUGUGUUCUUAUUGUUCAAAUUUAUGUUGAUGAUAUUAUAUUUGGAAGUUCUAAUCUUUCUCUUUGUGAGAAUUUUGCAAAUCUUAUGAAAGGAGAAUUUGAAAUGAGUCUUAUGGGCAAGCUUUCAUUCUUUCUUGGUCUUCAAAUUAAGCAAUCAGAAAAAGGAAUUUUUAUAAAUCAAGAAAAGUAUGCAAAAGAGUUGAUCAAAAAAUUUGGAAUGGAAAAAAGGCAAAGAAUUUGGCACUCCCAUGAGUCCCUCCACCCGCCUCGAAUCCGAUACAACAGGAAAAGCAGUUGACAAAAAACUUUACCGAGGAAUGAUUGGGUCCUAAUUAUAUCUCACUGCAAGUCGACCUGACAUUAUGUUCAGCGUUUGCAAAUGUGCACGAUUCCAAUCCGUUCCAAAGGAGUCACAUCUCACCGUUGUGAAACGAAUUAUUCGAUAUCUCAUUGGAACCUCUGAUAUGGAGUUAUGGUAUCCUUUUUUAAAAAAAAUUGAUUUGAUUGGAUAUUCAGAUGUUGACUUUGCAGGUGAUAAAAAUGACAGAAAAAAACACCGUGGAACAUGCCAAUUUUUGGGAAAAUUUCUUAUUUCCUGGCAUAGUAAGAAACAGACCUCUGUUGCCCUUUCAACUACUGAAUUUGAAUAUCUGGCUGUUGGAAGUUGUGGCACUCAACUACUUUGGAUGAUGCAUCAACUCCUGGACUAUGAUUUAUUCUUUGAGGGAGUACCUAUUUUUUGCGAUAAUACUAGUGCUAUUAGUCUAUCUAAAUAUAUUAUGCAUCAUUCUAGAGCUAAACAUAUAGAUAUCAAGCAUCAUUUUAUUCGUGAUCAUGUUGAAAAUGGUGAUUUUGUGCUUGAAUUUGUUGAUUUUGAGAAUCAGUUAGCCGAUAUCUUUACAAAACCUUUACUUUAGGAAAGAUUUUGUUUCCUUCGAGAAUGUCUUGGCAUUACCUCAUUUAUUAAUUAAGUACCAGUUUUCUUGGCAUCACUCUCUCUGUAGGAAUGUGAUUACCUCCCUGAAGUAUUUUUUCGGUGAUCGUUAAGACUAUGGGUUCUUUUCUCGUUUGCUAAAGACUGCCAGUUUGUGGAGAUAUGUCUCCAUUUCUUUUGGACUGUAUAUUUGUUUUUGCGUAUCCUAUUUUUUAUUUUCCUUUUUGAUUAUGCCAAAGGGGGAGAAUAAUUAGACCUUGCCAUAGAGCAAGGGGGAGCAUGCUGGAAAUCUACACAGGAGGCAUACAACAAGGGGGAGCAUGAAUCGAAUAGGGAAGUCAAAUUAAACUUGUAUUAAUCUUAAUUGUCAUUAUCAAAAAGGGGGAGAUUGUUAACUUAUGAUAUUAUGAAUAAUGACAGGCUGAAUUCACAUCGCAGGAAAUCAAGAGAAGAAACAAGAAGAUCACCAGCUUCACCAAAAGACUGAGUGACACGAGCAAACCAUGGAAAUAGAUUGACCAAAUCUAAUUGGAAGGAUUGCACCAAUCAAGUAAUAGAUUGGCUCACAAUCUGCAGCAACCAUGGAAAUGGAUCAACACACAAUCAAUCUAAAAGAUUGAUUCAAUCAGCCAUCAUAAGGAUCACACCAAUCAAGGAAUAAAUUGACUCACAAUCUGCAACAACCAUUUUAAUGGAUCAACACACAAUCAAUCUAAAAGUUUGAUUCAAUCAGCCAUUACUCCAAAAAGGAAAACAUCACCAGGCAAUCAAUCAGGACAACAAGCAAUUCACACUGAUUAUGGAACUAAUCAGGAAAAAUGACAGCUGCAAAAUAGAAGGCUCAAGACAGCAGGCAGGAUCAAAAGAAGAUCAGCAAAGGAUUCUACAUCAGCAUUUGUUUCAAGGCAGAUUAAAUCAAAGAUCUAAGAUUCUCAAUCAAGGAAACAUUACAAAUCCUUGAUUGAAGGAAACUCCCUUAGGUUUUCCUGUUAGAGCUAAAAUACCAUCACACUACUCACAUAUAAAAGAAGACUCAGACCAACAGUUGAAACUACGCACUUCACUUGAACUUAUAUUGUAAUCUUCUUUUAUCUUUCAUAAAACUUUGUACACACUUGAGUGAACAAUUGAAAAGAAAAGAAAAUGAAAGAUCUGAGUGUAGGUUAUACAGGUAGAGGUUGUGUCGAAAAAGAAGAUCUGAUUUGCAUAUCAGACGGGGAUCUUAAUUGUAACAUUCUAUAACACUCAAGUUCUCAACAAGCUUUUAAGGAAACCCUUGUAACCCAAGGGGACUGGACUAGGCACCACAUCGGUGAUUCGAACCAGCAUAAAACACUUUGUGUUAUUUACUUACUGCAAGUUAUUAUUACUGUUUAUUUAUUCUACUAACGUGCAGGUGAGUCGACUGGCCAUUACAAGAAGUUGACUGAAGGAAAUUUUAAUUCACCCCUCCCCCCACCUUCUUUACUUUCAAAACCAACUUAAUCAGUUUUAAAAUUAUCAUAACCAAGUCUAACCAAAUAUAAUAUAUAUUUAUCAGUUUCGGUUUGGUUUGGUUUGGUUAUUCGAUUAUUAACCAAAAUCAAACCAACUUAAUCGAUUUUAAGAUUAUCAGAACCAAACCAAAUCAAAUAUAAUAUACAUUUGUUGGUUUGGUUGUUAUCGGUUUCGGUUCGAUUCGAUUUGGUUCGGUUAUUAACCAUACACAAAAUAAAAGAAACAAUUCAUUCAAAAUGUUGAAAGAGUGACAACAAUAUCCGUUCAGAACAAAUAAUAGUUAGAAAGACUGACAUUAUAGAACUUUCUAUCACUGAAUUUACUACGAAUUAAACUUCAAAAUUCAGUAUUUUGGCCUAGAUUCAGUCCCACGGAAAAUUGUCAGACACUUAUAUAUAUGAAACCAAUAAGAUAAUUGUGCUCACCUUGUGCAUUUUUGCUUUCAUAAGUAGAUUAUAAAUAAAUUUUUGAUGAAAACAUAUAUAAGAUCUUUAAAUUAGUUUAUAAAAUCAAUAUGUUAUGUAUGUAGAAUAAUAAGAUAUAUGUAUAUAAUUUGUCGGGUCAGUUAUUUCUUCAAUUUUUUCUAAUAAAAUCAUAACCAAACUAAAUACUAUCGAUUUUAAUAAUAUAAAACCAAAUCAAACCAAACCCAAAUAAAAUCAAUUUAUUUAAUCGAUUUGAUUCAAUUUUUUGAUUUGAAUCAAUUUUAUCCAAAACGUGAACACCCCUAUCUAUAAGAGAACCAACAAAAUUCUAUGUCAAGAAGUAGGGAAGAAUGUGUGUAUUUACGGAUGACAUUCAAAUUUAAUUUGCUUAACUCAACUAAAUUUGUUCAAGUUUGAAUGAUUAUUGAUCUGGUCAUUUGUUAGCUCACUUAGCUCAAUCCAUUAUAUUAAAAACUAGGAGACUUGGCCGCGCUUCGCGCGGUUAAGAAAGAUCUCUUUAGAUUUACAAACUAAUCUUUUACUAUUUCAAAAAAUUAAAAAUAUUUUAAAAUAAUUAUAUAGUCUCCAAUUCAAAUAAAUUUGAUUUUAAUUUGUUUAACCUUUCAUUACCUAAAACUUAGUUGUUAGAAAAUAAAGUUCAUCCAAAAAAAAAAAAAAGAGAUUCCUUUAAAUUUUCAACAUCAUUAUUUGUGUUAUGGUGUAGUGACAUUCUUUUGCUUAAUUAAAAAAAAAUUGUAUCUUUAAAAGAAAAGCAUUUUGCACAUAAUCAUGAUAUAGUAAUAAUGGUGUUCAAUAGUUUCAUUAAAUUUCUACGAUAGUACAUUUUAUAAUUUUGAGAAAGUUGUAUAAAUAUUUAUUCGUUACAAAUGUUUAGAGGUUUUGCCUAUUUCAAGUUCUUACAUAAUUCAAAUAAAUUCUUAUAUUUAACUUCUUCUUUUUAAAAAAAAGUGAUAAUAUUUACAAUAUAAAUAUAAACGCUAAAAAUUUACAGUUUAACAGAAAAUAUGCAUACUUUUUUUAUUUGUAAGUAAACUAAAGUACACAUAUUUGUUAGCCUCCUAUGAAAGCUUAACAAUAAUAUUUGAGACUUUAUUCUUACAAUAAGAUGUACGAGCAGAAAUGAAAAAAAAUUAUUCAAAAAUAAAUCAAAACUAAUUGAUGGCAGCAAAUUAAUUAAAAAAUUACAGUUUAUAUAUUACAUCGUUAGUUAAUUAAAAUUUAAAAACACUUUUUGAAAUUCGAAUAAUCUGCAUAUUAUUCGGAGAUCUGCAAGAACAAAAAGAAAAAAAAUGAAGAAUUUGAAGUUAGCUAUAAGAUAAUAUAUGUUGAGUUUUCUGUAGAUACAACAAUAAUAUGUUAUGUUGAAUUUUGUGGAUAUAUAACAAUGAUUUAAGAAGACUCUUAACAGUAGAAGACAACUUAUGAUCGCCACAUACUCAUAUUUUUAGCACCAUCCAGGAACUAAUUCAUCAUUGCAUAUUCUUCUAGUUUAGUAUAUUCGUGGUAUGCAUAAAUUUGUAUGUAAGAAUUCAUUAAAAUUAUAAUAAAGUAUGAAAGUGAACUCAUGACUUAAAAAAUAUAAGAAAUUAGUGCUAAAUCAUUAAACGUUAAUUAUAUAAUAUUUAAAUCAUGGCUCCAGCUUAAUAUCAUGAUAUAUAUACCACUUGCUUUACCCCCACAAGCAUAAAAAAAAUAUUGGAUCUUCAAAAAUACAACCUAAAAAAAUAUCAAAAGUUAGUACUAAAAACUUUAAAUAUUAAAUACAUAAAAUUUAAAUUUUGAAUUCACCUAUAUCUCUUCAUAUCACACAACACUUGCUUUCACCACACAAAAACCCCAAAAAAAUAUUACCCACGCUAUUGUUUUGAAUCUAUAUGAAAAGUAUUGAAAUUUUCUUGAUCCUCCUUUGUAAAUCAUAAAGAAUCAUUCUAAUUUUAUAAUUACGAUAAUCAAUAAAAAAAAAGUCAUAAGAUAAAAGUCAUUUAGUAUUAGCAGAUAAUGAAAAAACUUAAAAACCAUACAAAUAAGACUAACAAAGAAAAACCUACAUAAAAAGCAACCUUGAUAGAUUGGGAGGGAUUAUAUAAAUCACACAAGCCCCAAUAAAAACUCCAAUUAAAAAAACCCAAAUCCUUUCCUUUUAUUUUUGAGAAUUCAUUUUUAUUUACCAUUAAAUAUUUUCUUCCACAAUCCACAAAGUCCCGUGCACUUUUAGAAAUGGACUUCUAUAAAGUGCAGUAAAAAAGGAUGUUCAAAGUGCAGUCAUUGACUAUUAAUUUAGGAGUUAUAAUUGUCCAGGGUUGUAAGGAAUAAUUAAAAUAAAAACAAUUAAACUUUUAUUUUAAAGAAAAUAAAUAAAUGAAAAAGUAAUAAUUGACACAUUCUAUAUAACAAUAAAAUGAAUAAAAAGAUACUUUUUAAUUACAAAUAAAAUUAUGAUACAAAAAUCAUUCUUAAGAUCCUACAAUAUAUUAAUAUUUAAAUUUCAAAAAAAAUAUUAAUUAAAAAAAGGUACCUGAUAAAUGCCAAUGAUUCACAUCAAACAUGAGACAAUUGAUAAAAAAAAUUUUAAAAAUUUCAUGAUAUACAUGAUAUCUAUAGCUCAAGAUUUAUAGGAGAAGAUGAAAAAGUGAGGAGUUAUAUAAAUUAAUUUUCAGAAGUUAAUGAAGGGACGUGGGGAAAGGAAAGGUUGGUACACGGUUACAACUUACAAUUAAAAUUUGCAUUUACAUGGAAAUGAGACUGUUACAAUUAAAAUUUGGAAAAGUAUCUUCCUCUUUACAAUUAAUUAGAAUCUAUUAAUUAUUACAGCCUUAAUUAAAAUCUAUUUACAUGGAAAAAUAGAGAGAAAAAAACCAAAAAUAGAUAAGUAGAUUUCCUGAUCAUAGAGGCAUGCCACAUCAGCUGAUUGAAGAUCCUCCUUUAUAUAUAUAUAUAUAUAUAUAUAUAGAUAGAUAGAUAUAUUAGGUUAAUAUAUAGCCCAAAUUGAUUGAUAAGAAAUUUUAUCAAAAAGAUAUUUAAUUUUGUUUAUUUGACAUGUUAUAUAUAUAACUAGAAAAAUAAUAAGUGGGAACUAUGCUUUGGUCGCCUUGACGAAGUCCGUACAAUCAACAAGUACUAAUUUGAUAAAAAACUUAUUUACAACUAAUUAUCAUCUCAAUAAAAUUAGUAGGCUAAAAUCAACUUUUAAUAAGAGGCCUCAUUCAUUUAAUUUGUAUUUAUUGUGUAUUGUAUAAUAUUUUUAAGUUUACAACAAAAAUCUGACAGUAAUAAUGUUGUAUAACUUACAUAAAUCCCAUAAUGUAAAGAGUAAAUUACAUCUUAUCCCUAUUUUUUUUUCUAAUUACAGUAAUCCCUUAAAAUUUGUACCUUCCGGAUACAUAAGUCACCAUCCGAAUACAUUAAUUCACCAUCCGAAUACACUAAUUCUAAUACAAGAAAAAUCUUUCUGUUGCGCUAAAAAAUGAAUAAAAUCUGAAAAUUAAUUAAAUCUCAUAAAUUACGCUUAUGUUUCUUCUUACUCUCAAUCAUAUAGAGGCAAAUCCUAAUAGAACGAAGAAAUUCAAAAUUUCAAAUUUCUCCCCUCGUUCAACGAAGAAACCUUUCAGAUAUGAUUCAAAAAAAAUUGUCAAAAUUUUGGAUAAGCGAGGUGAGUUUUGAAGGAUACAAAAGUGAUGAAAUUGUUGUUGGACAAACGAUAUCCUUUUGAAUCUUCAAGUUCAUCGAAGAUCCUUUCAAUUUUGAUUCAAGAUAAUCAAAAAAAAAUUGAGAUUCAAGAUUCUUUCUUCUCCAGUUCAGCGAAGAUCCUUUCAAUUUUGAUUCAAAAUUCUUCUCCUAGUUUAUUGAAGAUCCUUUCAAUUUUGAUUUAAAAUUGUUGAAAAAUUUGAGAAGAUACAUCAUGAAUAUCUUUGCUACUUAACAUUUACUAUUUAUGUAUCUUGUUUAAAUUGAUAAGUAUUGUAUUUAUACUAGAUACAUUAAAUAAAUAAUUAUUGCCUAUAAGAGGUUAGAUUUGAGAUCGAUACAUUAUUGUGUGGUAGUUGCUAUGUAAUUGAUACAUUUAGUAUAAAUUUAAAUUUACGUAUCAUAUCUAAAAAAUUAGUGCAUGAUACAUUACUAUUUAUGUAUCUCGUUUAAAUUGAUAAGUAUUGUAUUUAUACUAGAUACAUUAAAUAAGUAAUUGUUGUCCAUAAGAUGUUAGAUUUGAAAUCGAUACAUUACCGUGUGGCAGCUGCUAUGUAAUUGAUACAUUUAGUAUAAAUUCGAAUUUACAUAUCAUAUCUAAAAAAUUAGUGCAUGAUACAUUACUAUUUAUGUAUCUCGUUUAAAUUGAUAAGUAUUGUAUUGUUUGCCUUGAAAGAUAUUUAUAACUUACAUAAUGUAUCAUUUUGUAGUUGAUAAUAAUGUAUCUGGUACAAUAAGGUUGUGAAAUAAUGAUGUAUGUAAGCUGAAAUAAAGUGUAUCUAUAAAUGUAUCACAAUAAAUAAGAAUUAAGUUAUCAAUUAGAUACAUGAACAAACACAAUCCAUUAAAGAAAUUUGAUUAUGAAAAACACCAGAAAAAGAGGAAAAUAUUAGACUGUAUAAAAUUUUGGUGAAAUUGAAACUAAUAUUAUUAUGAGAAAAUGAGAAGAUUAAAUAAUAAUACAAUAAUCCUAAUCAGUUUCAAUGAAUGAUUAGUUGUUAGAGUCCAUAACCAACUCAAAUUAUGGAAGAUUUACAAAUAUUAUAUUUUUUUUUUAAUCAAACACCCGAGGUGAGUUUUAUUAACCAAAAAUAAAGAAACCAAAUACAAAUACCAAAUCCAACAGUGAUUUGGAAAUAAUAGAAAAACAAAACAACUACUAAACCAAAAAAAGAAAAAGAAGGAAAAAGACAAAAUAAAAAGAAAAGACGACAGAAAAGGCAAGAACUUCUUCAAAUAUUAUAUUAAUUAUUAACAAAUAAUAACAACUACUACUAUUUUUUUCCCUUCUAAUUUACGUUUUAGCGUAGAAAAUUUGAAGUUCACAUAGUUUAUUUUAUUAUAAAUUUUGGAGUAUUUUAAAAAAUAAGUAAAAAACUCAUAAAUAUCUUUUUAAAACUUUUUUGGCUAAAAAUAUCCUUAACCUACCGAAAAGAGAUUGAUUUUGAAUUUCAAACGUGUUUGAGAAAAUAACUAUUAAGAUUUUGUGACUAAAAAUAAGGAGAAAUUUGUGAAGUGAAAUAAGGAAGGGAUAAAUAUUGGUUUGAGAGUUAGGAUUUAUGUAUCCAGCGUUUGGGGAUUUGAGAGUAAAAUAAGGGGUUUUGGAAAAUUUUAGAACCGAUAGGAAAUAAUGAAAAUUAUGAAAAAAAAAGGUGUGUAUAUAGGUAAUUUAUCCAAUAAUGUAAUUAGGAUUAUUUCAAGUUAAUUAUAAGUUAGUCAUGUGUAUAUAAUACAUUACCUUAGAUAUUAUUGCAUAACAAGUUUUUAUCUACUAAUAUGAAGAUUUAAGUAGUUUAAUUUAAGGUCAAGCAAUUUUUACCACGGAAAAAGGGUCUAAAAUAUCCUUAAACUAUUGAAAAUGGUACAAAACUAUCCUUCAUCCACCUAUUGACUCCAAAAUACCCAUGUCAGACAUCUAUUGGUUCCCAAAUACCCCUACCAUCCAUCUUUGAGUCCAAUAUUGAUCACUUUUAUAAUGGAUUACCAUCUAUUGGAUAAAAUUUAAUUACUUAAAUUAAUUUACAAACUCAACCAUUACUAACUAUACCCAAUCCAAAUUAACUACUCCCGACCCAAAUUAACUACACCCGCCCCAAAUUACCUUACCCCACAGAUUAAAAAAAAUACACCCAUCAUUCCCAAUAUUUCACUUCAUUUUCCAACCUUCUUCCCCAAUAUAUUCGCCUACAAUCUUGAAAAACACUACCUAAAUACACACAUGUAUCACCAUAAGAAAUCACCAAAACACUCAUGAUUUUUUAUGGUGAUAUAUACAUGAGUGUAUUUACGUAGUAUUUUUUGACAUUGUAUGCGAAUUUAUUGGGGAAGUAAGGUUGGAAGAGAAAGUGAAAUAAAAGUGAAAUAUUAGGAAUAAAAGGUGUAUUUGUUUUAAUUGGUGGGGUAAAUGUAAUUUGGGCCGGAAGUAGUUAAUUUGAGCUAGGUGUAGUUAACUUGAGUUAAGUGUAGUCAAUUUGGGUCAGAUAAAAUUAGUAAUAGGUGAGUUUGUAAAUUAAUUUAAGCAAUUAAAUUGUAACCAAUAGAUGAUCAUCACGUAUUUAAAAAAAAUUAUUUAAAUGAUACAUGUUGUAAAAGUGGUCAAUAUUGGACCCAAAGGUGGAUGACAUGAUAUUUGAGAGCCAAUAGGUGGAUGAAGGAUAGUUUGGCACCCUUUCCAAUAGUUCGAGGAUAUUUUAAAAAUCUUUCUUUCCUUACUUUUUAAUAAAGAUUUUGUACUCUUUUCCUUGCAAAUCUUUUUGUAAGUAAAAAUAAACGUAUAAAUCAAUAUUAAUUUUUUGGGAGGCUUAAAACGAAAGUUUUACUAGUCUUCACUUUGAAUCGUACUUGUAUCACAUAACUCAAUAUGGUAUUAUCAUAUGUAUAAGAGGAUUUGGAAUUUGAAGUUUAUGAAAUUCAUAAAACGUUUUAGAUUAAUUUAUACAACAAAAAUGAGGCAAAAAUAUUUCUAAUAUAUAAAAAAUGACUGACAAAUAACGUUCUUCAACUUUUAUAUCUAAACAUACCCUCAACCUUUAAUUUUUGACUUAAGGUUACCCCUCAAACAAAUUUUGAAUUUGGUCAAAUUUUGCUCUUUAAAAUAGUAUGUGGCCUAUUAUGAUUUGUCUUGUUUUUUUUUUAAAUUUUGAAUUACAUAAAAUCUAUCCAUAAUUUGAACUCACCCCGCUCCUGACCCAUUUUUCUUUAAGCCCUUGAUCAUUCAUCCUCAUUAGAAUGUAUUUGGUGUUCCAAAUAAAAGUAUCUACUGUGAUUCACAUGUAUAUAGAGUAAAAUAACUAUGUCACUCGCCUUAGUGAAACAAUACGUAAUUAUUUCAAAUUAGUAAAUAUGAAAAAAAUGUUUGUAAAUUACUUCUUCAAAAUGAACAAUUUUAAAGAAAAUACAAAAAAUUAAAUUGGAUAGCACCGUAUAAAUGUUGUAAUUAUAUUAUCAUACAAUAUUGUUUCAUAAAUUGGAGAAAAAAUGUUGAGAGUAGAUGAUCAAUCCAUACAAGAAGCAUGAUACUUCAGAGUGCUCUCCAUGAAAUAUCUUCUCUAUAAAAGUAAAAUAAAAUUAUCCACAAAGACAAAGGACACAAAUUCAAAAUAAUAAUAUGAACAAAUACAUUGGAAACGAGAAUAAAAAGUAUGGCAUUGCAUUGUCAUAGUUAACAACAUAGUAUAAAUUUUAGUAACAAUCAAACAAACAUUAUAUAUACCUAAAUAAUAAUAUAAUAAGUAACAAUGAUCUGAACAACUUAUAAAAAAUACAGUAAACUUAAGUAAUAAUCAAAAUAAAUAUUAUAUUUCAAUAACAAACAUAAUAAAUAACAAUCAUCCGAAUAAUCUGUAAUUACAAGAUGAAGUAAGAGAAAAAAAUAUUUUCUUUUUUUCUUUCAAUUUGUUUAAAAGUAGAUGUUCAUUUUCACACUUUGGUUAAAACAACAGAGUACUUAAUAUUGUUUGGUUGUUUUGAGACGUGGAUCAAUGUCAAGUACAAUAGUUCUACAUAAACAAUCAACAAAGAUUUAUUUUUUUUGUUUAUCAUGUCAAAUCAAAGACAUCUAAUAAAGAAAUAAUAAAGAGAAACAUGUGCCAAAACUCUAAAAUAGACAAGAAUACGGUAUGCAAUCCCAAAAUUAGUAGCAAUAAAUUAUAAAUGUCUAAGUCCGAAGAGAUGGAUCAAAAGGUAGAGAAGAAUCAAUGGCAGCUUGGAAGAAGUAGCUCAGCCUUGAAUUCAAAUGUCACUUGUCUCACAAUUGAGAUUUUGAUGCAGCCGCCUGAAUAUAUCAUGUACUCAACAAAAAAAGAGCAAGUACAAUAUCAGUAUACAACCACAAUGUAUCGAUAGGAUUGUAACACCUUGGUCUUAGAAAGAGCUAAAUUUAGAAAGAGCUAAAUUGAGUUUGGUACAAGUUACUCUUCGACUGUGAGUUUUGGGUCAACUUCAAACUAUCAUAACUUUCAGCACAUGAUGAGUUAGGUGGCCCAUGAGAUAUCAAAUCAAAGGUCGUUGAGUCCUUUUUUCAACACCGCCAAGUUUGCUAAAUUCCAAGUUUGGAUGAAGGAUAUGCCCGUUUGAGUGCAACCUGUCUAGUUAAGAAAAUUCAUCCGUUUUAAGGAGGGGUGUUUCGAUCUUUUCCUUACCCACUAGGCCUACACGUUUUUUUCACCCUUUUUGGGGUCUAAACUGAUUGGAAUCCGUUUUAGUCAUUCCAAAAGAGCUUAGUUUUUUUUUUUUGAGAAGUUCAAGAGGAGAAAAAGAAGAACGUUCAAGAUUCUUGCAAGUUUUGAGGAUUUUUGCCAAGAAUUAAUUUUUUCGAGAUAUGUAAGCUCUCAUAGUAUUGUGUUUGUUCAUGUAACACCUCAAAAUUUUUUGAGCUAAAAUUCAAACCAUUCUUUAUUGUGACUAAGAUUUUAUCGAGAAAUUUAAAUUAAUAACUUUUUCAAAUUUAAUUUUCACUUUUCCUAUAGUUCAAGGUAAUUUUAGCCAUUUCCCCUAAAUUUUAUAGGAAGAAGGCAGCAAUUGUAGCCAUUAAUAAAAAUUGAAAAAAAAAGGGACUAUACACAUAUAAAACCGAUGUGACAUUUUUUUAAUCUAUCAAAGAGAAGAAUUGAGAUCACUUAUCUUAUUACAUGAGAAAGUUGCCGGGCGAAAGUAUUUUUAAGGUUGCUAAUAGUUUGUGAAUAAAAUUAAUAAUUUUUUUGAAUUUGAAUUUCACUUUUUACCAUUAACAUUUAUUAAUAGUGAGAUGAAAAAUCGAUAGUGAUGAAAAGACAAAGGUGUCCUUCCAUCCUUUCUUUCUCAACUUCCUCUUUCUCCCCUCUGAAAAUUCCCAUUUUGCUUCUUCUGACUAGGGUUUUGGUAUCUCUCUUUCGAUAUUCUCCCGUUCAUCGGAUAUAUAUGGUCGGAAUGAGACUCCUUCCUGAAGAUUCCGACGUCGCGCCGGCGCGAACAUUGGCAGCAACUGACUUGAUCUCCGACGACGAUCGAUCAGUAGCGGCGGACUCGUGGUCGAUAAAGAGCGAAUACGGAAGUACACUUGAUGAUGAACAACGUCAUGCUGAUGCUACUGAAGCUCUCGCCGCUGUCAAUAACCGUGCAGCCUCCGAUUACAGGUUUUGUCCCCUCUAGAUGCAAAAUUUUAGGAGCUAAUUCGUUAAAAAAUAAAUUAUGCUUGAUAGAUAAGUAAUUAAGUCUGAACUUCAUAGAAAUAUUAUUUAAGAACUAUUUGAUGCUGGAAAUGAUGCUAUUGAAACUGCAUUAUAAAGUUAAACUUGAAUAAAGUGGAAGCUGACAGUGUAAUAUGAGUAUUUUAUGGGUUGUACCAGGUUAGUCACAGGGGCUUAGCCAACGCAUACUGAACGGGUACUAAUUAAGCCGGUUAGUGACUAGUUAAAACACCGGGAGUGGUCUGAUCCCCUGUUUGAUCAGACCUCUCCGAGAAAGAUAAAAAGCAAACUCUCAUAGUGCGGAACCCAGCUCCACCAAUUUCUUCGCAAGUUAGGUGAGGUACUUCUUUUGGUUUGAUUAGGGGGUCGCCCCAGCAGAUGCCAUUAACUUUGGCGCGAAUUUGUAUUUGUGUUCAAAAUUCUAUUAAUAUCUAUAAAUAAUUUAUGUAGAAUCCAUCCAGUAAGUUGUCUUUUCUAAAAUUUAGAACCCAUAAACUCAAAAUUCUAGCUUCACCUCCGAUUAGUCGUCAGCUUUUGCAGGUAACGAAUUCUUGUUUAUUAUGGUUAUUGACAUUAAAGUAAUCUGAUUGUGUAGAAAUUGUUUACCCAGUGUCAGUGUUUUGUGGGACUACAUGCUGUUGUUGUCGGUGUAUAAAAACUAAAUCGUUUCAUUUUGCACUGGGCUAGACAAUUUUAUUUGGAGCUAAUUAAUAAUGGAAAUGAUGCUGAAUAAUGCUGUUGGGGUUGCAUUGUAAGGUAAAUCAUGAAUAAAGCAGUAGCUGAAACUGCAUGUUUACGGGUUCCACCAUUAAUAAAAAUGCUUCAGAUCAUUGAUUAGGAACAUCUUCCUAAAAAAUUGCCAAGUGAUAUUGCUCUUAUGUUGAUUUCUCAAGCUGUAAAUUCCAACUGCUAAAGCUUUAAUAAGCAAAUAUCUGAUUUUUCAUCUGUGUGUACGAACAGUUCUGACAAGGAGGAGCAAGAUGCUGAAGGAGUGUCUUCAAUGCUUGGUUUCCAGAGCUAUUGGGAUUCUGCGUAUGCUGAUGAAUUGGCAAAUUAUCGCGAGCAUGGUCAUGCUGGUGAAGUUUGGUAAGAAUUAGCUGGCCAAAAGAAAGCAAUGUGUUUCCUUUUCAUCCAUCCAGUAAGAUAUCUUUUACUUUUUUGUGAUCAUUGUGGAUCAAACGUUCAACUUGUAGUUACUUAAAACUCGUUGAAGCAUAUGGGUGAUAGCAUGUAGCAAUAAAUUCUUUUUUUCCAGAUUACCUGAAGAGGGUAAUCAACUAAGAAAAAAGUAAUCUACAUUUACAUUUGUGUCUUUGUGGACAACUUAUUAAUGAGGUCCUUUGGUUGGUUAUCUUGAGUAACAGAUCUGAUUAUAUUAGCAGCCUUGCUGGAAAAAGGGUCUGGCUUCAGCUCUGUCAUUUUUACAAAGAUUUGGUUCAGCUCAGGAUAUAUUUUGUUCGGUUAUAGAUAUGGAAGACAAUUUUUGGGCUUUCUUUCCAUCUUUUACAAAGAUUACCAUUCCCAACCCCUAAAAGAUAACCUGAAAGAGGAAGUGGUGAUGGGAUAGUGAUUCUAACAUUGGAUUAUUAUGUUCCUAAUAAAUGAUAAUGAUAAACAAAACAUUCAUGAAUGAUUUUAAUCUAUUAUUUUCCCUAUCUUUCUAUAGGUUUGGUGCUGAUGUUAUGGAAAUUGUUGCUUCAUGGACCCGAGGUUUGUGCACUGGCAUUUGUCAAAAUCACUUGUCAAAUCAUGUAGGUGAUGGCGAGCAAGUUGGGGUACAUGAGAAGGACUUGGCUGAUUGGAGUGUGCUUGAUAUUGGGACCGGCAACGGUCUGCUUCUUCAAGAGUUCGCUAAACAGGGGUAAAGUUGAUUUCCUCCUAGCUAUUACUGUAUGCUACCCAUUCCCUCACUCCGUCAUUCUAUAACUGCUAUAGGAGCUUUUCUGCGAACUAUUUGGCGCAAUCGCUACAAAAUCUUGAAAGUUCCAUAAUGCUGCGUUGGAAAUUUGCAGUUUGUGUAAUUGUUAAGAUAGUAAACUGUGAUCAGUCAAGGUCACAGUUGUACAUGAAAAGCAUAUGGCUUUAGAGAAGAAGUGAAGUGCACAUUUGUGUUUCUGCAUCUUCUAUAUACUCCCUCGAAUCCAAAAUAAUUGAUUUGUUAGCCUCUAAAAGUUGGUCUAAAAUAAUUGAUGUUUCACAAAACCAAGAAGUAUUUAACUCCUUUUCUCAAUUUUUCCCUUGAUACAUUCCUAAUUCCCAUGAUAAUUAUGUCAACCUAAAAAAAAAUCAUAACUAAGGGUAUUUAGUCAAACCCCCAUUUCUAGGAGUAAGUGAAUUCCUUAAUCUCUGUGUCCAAGCCUAAAAUAUCAAUUAUUUUGGAUCGGAGGGGGUAUUUAUUUUUAUUUUCAUUUUGAAAAUGCUAAUCUAUGCGACAACUUUUGUUUUUAUCAGUUACCCUGCUUGAUGGUUAGUAUUUCCAUCAAAAAUCGUAUAUUAAGGUCUCACGGGCAGGAAUAGAUGAUCUAUUCUAGGGUGGGAGGUAGCAGGUACCCGGUAGAAUAGUCGAGGUGUGUUGAAAGUUGGACCAGACUCCUGUUAUAAAAUAAUAAUUAAGUGAAUAAAAUAUCCGUUCUAAGAAAUGUCAGAUGUAAAACAAUUAACAUUUAGAGCACAGAAAAUUUAAUUCAGAAAGCAUAUUUCAAAAAGAAAUAAGCAUACUGAUGAAUGAUGAGAUAACAUAUGCAGAUCUUCCUUUGAGUUACUUUUGAGUCCUUGGUUGCAUAUAUUUUGGGCUAUUUUCGUCUUUCCUGUCCAUUUAUCCAUCAUUUAUCCAUCCUUUCCUUCUUGUUUUGGGCUAAUCCUGAUAUGCUGUAGUUCAGGAGCUCUUUCAUCUUGCAUGCAUGCACAUUCUUAUUCUGCAUUUUGACUUGUUCAUAGUAUCAUUUACUUUUGAGGUGGUGGAUAGUUAUACAUAUUCAUGUUGCUUCAAAGAGUAGACACCUAUCUUCAUGUUUAGGCAAGAUGAUGUAUGCAUAUCUACCCCCACACCCCACCCAAAGGGAAAAAAAGGUCUACUUGAGAAGCUUUUACAGUGAUUGAUUUAAUGGUAGUUAAGGCAUGUGUAACUCCAGUGGUUCUAUAAUGAAUUCUAAAUCAAGUUCAUCAUAAUAGCAAUUCACUGCUUCCAUCUUAAAUAUUUUAUGACCUUUUUUUGUUUAAUUUCUUGUGUCAUGAAAUGUUUGAUCUAAUUUUUAAUUCCUCAUCCCGUUAGUGGUAAAAUUCUCAUUGUAUUUGGGGUUGACCUAGCAAUCUUGAUUGCAAGUUGAGAAGCCUCAACUAUAAAGAUUGGUUGAUUUCUUUUCUGCUUUGUCUAUAUAAUCUCGAAAAUAUUUGAAAUAGGGAAACCAAAAAUUAGAAAGGAAGAGAUGAACUACCUUGAUGGCUACUUUAUGUUUACCAUGAAAGUGCAUCUAGUAGUUCAAAUUCACAUGUCCACCCCCCGGUUUGGGCGUGGGGGAUAGAAGUUGUUGGUGUCUAAGAGAUCUUAGUUGUUCAAUUAUGUAAGGAGAGUGCUGUUUUCUAGUUACAGUUGCACAUAUUUUUCUUUGAAAAUGCUGAGGUAUCUUGAUUUAAGAAACACUCGUAAAUGCUUCCUAGUGCACCUGUUUAUUUUAAGUCUGAACUUUCAAAUGCAUUUGUUGCUUUGUUAAACAUACAUCUGAAGGUUAGAUUCUUAUUAUCGUUUAUUUAUUGUGGAGUUAGGUUUUCAGAUCUCACCGGAACUGACUAUAGUGAAGGAGCAAUAGACCUUGCGAGAAGGCUUGCGGAUCGUGAUAGUUUCACCAAUAUCAAGUUCUUGGUAAAACUGAACUUUAUCUCUGAAUGUGAACAGUUACUUAAGUGUACAUAGAGCUGUUGCAAUCCAGUAUAUGAAAAAACAAAUAAAAGCAAAAAACAGUAGUCUCUACCUUGCUUUUGUAGUUUCAUGUUACUUCUAAUUGCUCUUCUUGUUCUCCUACAUGCUAAGUGGUGAUCUUGUUCUCCUACAUGCUAAGUGGUGAUCCCUAUUUAGUACAUUGUUGGUUAUAAUUGUGUUUCUGCAUGUGCAAUUACUUCUAAAUGAAAAUGACUUAAAUUUUGAUGUUACUUUGUAAUCUGGAAUGGUAAAGUUGCUGCCAUGUGACCAGGUGGUCACGGGAUCAAGCCUUGGAAUUGCCUCUGGCAGAAAUGCAAGGAAAGGCUGCAUACAAUAGGCCCUUCCCCAGACCCUGCGCAUAACGGGGAGCUUUAGUGCACCUGGAUGCCCACUUUGUAAUCUGGAUAUUCCCAUAAAAUACUGUGUACACGAAAGAACUUUGUUCAAGUCUAUAGUGGCAAUAGAAUGGGAUAUGGUGCUAAAUGUAAUACGUCUACUGAAUUCUGCAAUAGAGAACAUAACUUGUCCUACCAGUUUACUCUAUCUUUAUCAUUGAUUUCAUGUACUUGCUAUGUGCGGUUUACCUAUCUUGUGUUCUUUAGUUGCUAGAAAAUGAUUAUUCUCAAACAACUUUUGAUUGGUGUCAAGGUUGAUGACAUUCUUGAAACAAAAUUGGAUACAACGUUUCGGCUUGUUUUGGACAAGGGGACCUUAGAUGCCAUUGGACUGCAUCCUGAUGGUCCUAUCAAAAGGUAGGUCUGUUGUAUGUUAACAUUUUUGUCUUUUUGUAUUAUGCAAGUUAUGUUAAUAUGUUUAUGUUUAUCUUUUUAUAUACAACUGCAAUUACUUAUAGCAACUCCAAUCAUAUUUCACGGUAAAUAUUGUCGCCUUUAUCGGUAGUGCCUUCUCUCAUAUGACACAUUUCUUGUGGCCAUUUUAGGAUUAUGUACUGGGAUGCUGUCUCAAGGAUUGUUGCUCCUGGUGGAUUAUUGGUGAGUACUCCAGCCCCUGUCCUCCUCUAAUUAUUAAAAUGGUCGUGAAGCUUACUAAUUAGAAGUUUGUCGGUGUUCCUCCAAAUGAGAAAAAGAGAGAUCCAGAGAAAUCUCUACUAGCACUAUAUUGAAACUGUGAAAUAGGAGUUAUAUUCCUUUCGCGAAUUCUUGUCCUUCCCUAGAAUAGUCUCUAUAUUCCGUGGUGUCUCUUAUUAUUUGACUCUGGACUUGUCCUCUAAAUUUUUGUAUACAAUUUAUUUAUUUAUUUGCUUCAUGUUCUCAAAGUAAAUUUAUCUUCCACUUGCCUGAACGGUCACUAUUGUAGGUCAUUACAUCAUGUAAUAGUACGAAAGAUGAACUGGUAGAAGAAGUGGAGACUCUCAAUCAAAGAAAAAAUGCUGUUGGAAACCAAGAGGCCUCUUCAGAUCCCCCUCCAUUCCGUUACCUUGACCAUGUUCGUACAUACCCUACGUUCACAUUUGGAGGAUCAGUAGGCUCACGUGUAGCCACCGUAGCAUUCAUGAGGAACUGAAUCAAUUAUCCCCUGCAUUAUUUUCGGUUUAUUGACACUCUUGUUGCUCCUAUAACUGUGCGUGUAUGUAUGAACGACUUUGCAUCCGUGGAAACGCUUGUGGAAACUCAGUUUAUGGAUUUAUGCAAUGUGGGAGAACUUGAUGUAGUUUCUGUACAGGUUUCUCAGUAUUUUGAUUUUUGCAAGGUGGGACUAGUUGAUAUAUAGUUUCAAUAGAGGCUAAAGUUUCUCAUCCCUGCCAACAAGUGAUGUGGUGGAGUAGUAAAUAUUCUUUCAUCAUUAACUAAUGAUUUCGGAUUCAAAUCUCUUUGAAUAUGGAGUCGCUUUUGGUAGGGAGAAUUUUACUAUUUAUGUGGGACUUCUCUGAAUCUGGAUUUGGUCGGGUCUCAAUGUGGAUAUCGAAUAAAAAGAAAAUGCUUCUCAACUUCCCCAAAGAAGAGGAGAGUAUCAGUCAGCUGCAAACAUAGCUUUCAGCUUUCCCCAGACUGGAUUAUGGGAGAGGGUGGUGCGGGUGUACAUAGUCUUAUCCCUAUUUUGUGAAAUACAGAAAUUAUUUUUAAUAAAUACUUGACUGGAGUAAACAUAUAAAAAAAUAAGUUUGUAAAAUAAAUACAUACUGAAAAAGUCGUGUUAAAAACAAUUAUGAGAAAAACAAGUAAUAACAUAAUAACGGAAGUGAAGGAAAAAACAUCUACUAAUAAGACAACUUAACAAUACUCGAGUAGGAUUAGAAUAUUUACCUAACACAUUGAUAUUUGAAUCAAUGGUUUAGCACCUAACGAAUCAUUGAUUUGUUGAGAUUUAUGAUUAGAGAGAGAAAAAAAAUACAUUAACAAUUAAUUAGAGAUUAAAUAUGUUUAAUAGAAAAUUAGAUUCAUUGUAUAAUAAUUUUUCAUUACUACUAUUUACUGCAUAGAUAGUGUUUUAAGCUAUCUUGGUAACAAAAUGGUCAAUUUAUGCAACUUUUUUAAAAAAUAAACGGCGAUGUAGGCAAAACUUUAUGGCUGUAAAAAUGAAUUUGCAAAAGGUUAUAAUUGAGUAGAAUGAACUUACAAGAGCUUAAUAUGACCUUUGAAGUUCAAGUUGCACAUGUUAUAUUAUCCGGGGAAAAGACCUGAUAUAUCUAUCAAAUUUGUUAUUUAGAGCUGAUAUAUCAUUCGUUAUAAAAGUGACUUAUAUAUAUCCUUAUUGUUACACAAAUGACCUAUAUAUACCGUUUUCCUCUAACGAAAGUAAAAAAAAAGUUUUUAAAUUAAUUUUUAUUAAAAAAAAAAGAGAAGAUAAUCCAUGUAGGGGUAUAUUUGAUCCUUCUCACAUGGUUUUUACUUUUGACUAUUUUUAUUCAUCGAUUAAUUUGAAUUUAUUAUUUUAAUGGUCAUAUUUAUUUAUUUUUCACUUAAUUUCUUGUAAAAUUUAUUAUAGACGCCCCUAUACUUUUUUACACAUAUAAAAACUAUAUUACAAUAUAGCCGUAAAAAAUUAAUUUUAACUUUAUUAACUUUUUAAUCUUUAUCCACUCACAUUUCUUUCUUUUUAUUUCUCUUAUUUUUGCACUAAAGUAUGCAAGAAAAAAAAAACUCAAAGAAAUCAAAAAAUAAUUUAUGUGUGAAAAAGAUUAAAUAUAUGAUUUUUAAAAAAUUAGAAGUUAUUUUUGUCACUUUUGUAAUGGUAGGGGUAUAUCUGAGCCACUUUUGUAACAAUAGAGAUAUAUAUGAGCCUUUUUUGUAACGGUAAAAGUAUAUGUGAGCCGCUUUUAUAACGAAUAUAUGUUAGCUUUAAAUAACAAAGUUAAGAGGUAUACCAGACCCUUUUUCCUAUUAUUAAUCUUGAUGUGUACUACAGUUCUAAUAAUAGAUUAAUAUGAUAACGUGCACAGAUGAAAAAUCAUAAUGCUAAAACAUGUUACUAUUUAAUAAAAUAUACGGUGAGUAAAACAAGUGAAAAUUCAAAACCUCAAUCGAGUUGUAACUUUUUAUCUAAGAGCUUUUGGGAUUAUCUGCGGAGAUUAGGAAUUAUAAUUAAAUUUAAAUAUUUUUUUAAAGAAAUGUAUAAUUAAUUUUUUAUCUGUUAAUAGUAAUAUAGCAAAACAACCCACGAAUAUGGAUAAUAUAUGUAAAGUUUGUGAUCUUGAACAUGAAUAUAUAGAACAUAUAUUAUUCAAAUAUUCUCGAUCUUUACUUAUGUGGAAACAAUAUCCAAUAAAUUUUGUCUGAUAUUAGAAAUAUUAUUCACCUUUUUUGUGGUUAAUUUUACUUGUUCUUUAAUACUAUUUCUUUCCUAAAUCUGUAAAAUUAUUAAAUUUGAGCUUAAUAUUAUUUGACAAAUUAAAAAAGGUAUAGAAAUGCUUGAGUAUUUAAUAAGGAAAAGUUAAAAUUAUGAGAUAUUGUUUCUAAAAUCUGUCUAUUGAGUAUGAAGAACCUAAAAAUCACUAAUUAAAAAAGAGAAAAUACAUAAAUCCCCCUUGAACGUGGCAGUAAAAUUUACUUUAGCACUUUAACUCUACGGGUAAUCAUUUACCCCCUAAUUUCUUUUCAAGUGAAUUUAAAUACACCCAAAUAGCUGACGUGACGAGUUAAAAAAAUUAUACAGCACGUAAAUAUCAAAAACUAAAGAGAAAAAAAAUAAAUGGGUCCUAAUAUUUUUCUUUUUAGCCAAUAAAUUUCUUUCCUUCAUCUUCCUCACACCCUACCACCCCAGCCCAUAGCACCACCAUCCCCACCCUACUCCUUCAUCUUCCUUACACCUCACCCACUUGCACCACCUCUUUCUUCUUCUUUAAAACUCCCAUCCCGACCCUAUUUCUCCUCUUCGAACCCUCACCCCCACCAUUUGUCUUUUUCUUCAGAUCUCGCUGCCUCAAUCAUCACCUGCCUCGCCCUUAUCUUCUUUUUCUUCGUUGAGUUUUCCAUCUUCUUUCUCCUUCUUUGAAAUGCCCCACCCCCAUUUCAUUUCGAUUAAUCAAAGGGUGUGAUGAAUAGGAAAACAAAAUGGAAAAAUCAACAAUUUGUUCUUGCUUCAAAUGGUAGUCUUUGAAUGUGAUGAACUUGAAACUUUUUCUAAUGAAAAAUUUGUAAUUUUUUCAUCUCAAAUUAAUUUUUCAGUUGUUAUUAUUCAUUUGUUUUGAUAAUAUUUCUCAAAAAUUGAAUGUGUUUUUGUGAGAAUAGUUUUGAGAUCUUCGAUCACUAUUUCAAUUGUGACUUGAGUUUAUUCAAUUGCAAUCUUGACUGAGUUGAGGAACAAGCGAGCUCAUUUUUUGAGAUUUUUUUACUUUCAAAAUUAUGAAUAAAUAAGAAGAAACAAAAAAAGAAUAAAAAAAAUUAAAAAUUAAAUAAUGUUCACUAUGACGUUGAUAUGGUAAUGAUGUGGCGCUCAUAUAUCAAUGAUAUGGCGUGUGUGGAUUGCACUAUCCAUUGUGAGACUGAUAUUAUAAUUUUAGAAUGAUAUUAAAUUCACUUGAAAAGGUAUUAGGGGGUAAAUAAUUAUCAUAAAGUUAAAGUGCUAAAGUAAGUCUUGCUCUUCAAUUAGAAAUCAUCAUGUGCUUAAACUAACAAAUCGGAGUAUUUAAUUAGAGAAAAUACAUAAAAUUCUUUUUACAUUAGUACCUAUUUUAAAAAGGCAAAAUGGUCUGGUGAAUCCUAAUACUUGUAUGCAUUUGUAUUGUGAACCAUUCUACUUACAUCUUUGUCAUCUGGACCCAUGAACCCAUCUAAACUCAACCUGUUGAACCCUUUCAACUCAUCGUGACUCUCAAUCACGCUGAUGUCACACUCCAUGUCAGAUAAAAUUUGCCACAUCAUUUUUUAUUUUUAUAAUAAUUUCUUUUUUAGACAAAAGAAAAAUCAUAAAGUUUUGAUGCAAUUUUGACAAAUUAAAUUUCAAUUUAUUAUUCUUUUAAAUUAAAAUUUUGUGUCUCCUCACAUCAUCUUCCAUUUUCACCAGUCUCCAUCUUCAUCGCACACCCUCACCAUUUUUCUUUCCUCAUUCUCCAACCUCCACAAAUCCAGAAACCCUAAGCCGCCGCACCAGCUCCUCGCCACUCACCAUCACCGACCGCUGUGAACCAUUGCCGAUCGUUGCGAACCACUAGGACCCCUAUGCUCUCCAUCCUCUCCGGCAUAUCAAAAGGCCAAGAAACUCCUCACUGCCUCCAGCGUAACAACAUGCUAGGAGGCUCAUCGCUGCCUCUGGUGUACUAGACCACCUAAAGAAGAUGGAAGAAAGAAAAAAAAAGGGUCGGGCAAGGAUGGGAUGGUUGAAAAAGUAGGUGGAUUGGUUGAAGAAGAAUGAUUUUUUUUUCUUUUCUAAGUUUAUUAUUUUAUUCUCUUAUAAUUUAAAUAUUUUUUUAAAUUUAAAUAUGGUGUUCACUUGCCUUAAUAGGCGUGUAGCCUCACUCUCUUGCCAACUCAACCAUUUUAAUGCCACAUAAGCAUGGUCAAUGAUCAGAGGAAUUUGAUAUAUUGUGUUUUAUUGAGUGUAAGGGUUCAGAUGACAAAGAGGUAAGUAGAAGGGUCUAUAAUACAAAUUGGUACAAGUACAGGGGUCCACCAAACUAUUUUAUCUUUUAAAAAGAUAUUUAAGUUUUGCGGGGUAUUAUGAACCCCUGAAUGAUGUUAUUUGAUAUUAUCAUUUUUAGCCACUGGCUGAGAAAGUGUAGCUCACUCUCACUCUCUCCAUGAGAGAGAUAGAUGAACCAAAAUAUUUUCUAUUUGCUUUUCUUUUUUUGGUUGUACUUUAUUGUUUUUUCUCUUUUUUUUUUUGUCAAUUUUUAUUUUCUAUUCAAUUCUUUGUUUUUCUGGUCUUCUACAACGGCAUUGAUAAGUGAUUUUUGUCAUUGUAUUUGAUUUUUUAAAUAUGAAUGAUGAAACGGCAAUAAAAAUGACAAGAAAAAUAAAAAAAGAGAUAAUUACUAUUAACCCCCAUUUUAUUCGAUGAAAAAAAAACAUUUUUAGAUGACAAAGAGAUGUAUUUUGGAUUGUGUUAAUAAUGAAUUUCAUCGGUGAUGUUUAAUUUUUCAAUAGAGAUGAUGAAAAGAUAAUAAAAAGUCAAAGGAAAACAUGAAGAGGGAGAUAGUCACCGGUAAUUACCAUUUUAUUCGGUGAAAAAAAAAGUUUUUUGAUGACAAAAUAUGAUAUUUUCCCUCUACUUCUUUGGUCUACUUCACUAUCUUUUUUUUAUCUUUAGUAUUAAUAUAUUGACGUGAUCUUGAAAUAAUGAGAAUUAAAUUUUGUAACAACGACACUCGUCUUGUGUUAAGAAAUUAUAUUGACUCUUUCUUAAUCCUCGAGGGGGAGGGUUUUGGAUUAUUUUUUUUAUAUAUAAAAAGUUAUUCUUUUCUCUUUUUAUUUUUAAAAUUUAAGAUAUUUUAACACGUGACAAUCAAGGAUUGGUGCGUGAGUCGGCGUGACAUAACUUAAUUUCUUAUAAGUGGCGUUGAUGGAAAAAUAAGACAAUAGUCAUUUCUUAAAAGUAACAUAACUUCAUUUCUUGAAUCCAGUGGUCUUGAUCUUGAUCACUUGAAUUCUUGAACUUGUUGUAGUUUAUAGAGAAAUCUGCGUCUUUUGAUCCAUGAGUUUUCUCUAACUUCUUGUUCGAAUUCUUGGUUCCUUUUCUGAAUUAUGAAGACCUCUUUUUAUAGUUUUAAAAUAGAUGAGUUGUGAUGGAAACAAGAUUCCCUUCGGCUAAUCAGAUUUAACUGACAUGACAUAUGAGCUUUAUGGAGCGAAUUUUAAUUAAUUUCAUAUUUAUUGGAUAUAAAUAACUAACUCAAUUAUAUUAAUCCGUAAUAAUUAUUCGGACUAAUAUAUUCAUGAAUUUAAUAUAAUCCAAAUCAUUUUAUAAAUUUAUAUUUGAUAAAUUUUAAAUGAUUACAGAACAUAUUAGAAUUUUAUAAUUAACGGCUUAUUGGUGUGGGGGCGAAUUAUUUAAUUUCCUUAUCAGAUAAACCGUUAACCCGUUAAAGAAUUGCCAUACUUACUCUUUUAUAUUAGAUUUAUUAGCCUCAUUUAAAAUGUUGUCAUAAUAUUAUUAUAUAUUGGUAGUCCUAAAGCCAUAAAGUCAAAAACUCAAAAACCUAUUUACUUUUAUAUUGUAUUAACUAUUAUAUUACUAUUAAUUUAUAUUUUUUUUGCAAUAUAGAAGAAUUUUAUAAUUUAACGGCAUUUAAAAUAGUGAAAAGUGUCCUUUUUUUAUAGGUGAGUUCAUGAAAAAGAAGAAGCAAAUGUUAGCCAAUACACCAUCCGAUGAUUGCUAAUCCGAUAUCAAAUCAAUCGAUAUUUUAUUAGUUGACUAGCAGAUUAGUAAAUUUAAAAUUCAAUAUUUGAUAAAUCAAAUCACUAAGCGAAAUUACCGCCCUAUAUGCAACCCCUACUUUGGAUACUUUUGAAAAACUGCUUUGUCCAUGGAUCCCUAAUCAAUUAUGUUGGGAUAGCGCCACUUCUAAAGUGAUUACUAAUAGGAAGAUUUUUGUACGUGUUAUCGAUAAUGGAUGAAAAAAUGUGAAAAUAUUAUUCCACGCUAAAUAUAUUUGGAUAUGAUUCAAAACGAAUUACUACUUCAUGCGAGAUAUAAGUGAUGUAUGAAGACAUUUGAACACUAUCAAACAUGUUUGAUCGCAUCGAUUUUUUAUACAUUUCUAGAUGUUUGAAUAAAAUAGCUUAUAAUUUAACUAAAUUUUCUAUUUCUUUACUAAGAGAUAUUUCAUCGGAGACUUUUUUUCAAGUUGAAUUAUACAUAAUGCUAACAGUUUGUUUGGAUAGUUGUUAGUUGUUAUUUAUUAUACUGUGUUGUUAGUUUAAAUGCGCUAUUUAUUUCAAUUCUUAUUUAAAUUAUAUCGUAUCACUAUAUUCAUAGUUAGUUAAAAAUGAAAAAUCUCAUUUUAGGUAAGGAGCGAUUUGGUUUGAUCGCAUUGUUAUCUUUAUUUUUUUUCUUUAUUUUGUCUGUACUUAUUAUUUCAUAAUUCUAAUUUUAUUCUUUACCUUAUCUUUUAUUUAUAGUAACUCUACUUUGUAUCUCUACAAUUCUAUUCUUACAUGUUUAAAAUUCAAAUAUUCUUGAUGCGUUAGAUUGCAUAAUAAUAAAAAAUAAUAUAAUCAUUCAAACAUUCUAUUAGUUAAAAUAUACGAUAUAUUAAAAAAAUACUAGGCAAUACAAAGUCGAUGAAAAAAAGGAAAAAUCGUUACCGUAACGAAAUCAAUUUUUAGACCAAAUCAAAAACAAAAUAAAAUUUUGUAGCCUAUAUAAAUGAAUCUUCUCGGCCGCCUCUCCUCAUCCUUUAAACCCUAAUUUACAAUUCCCACCAAUCGUUUUUCCUCCCUCUCUCCCUCAUCCAGUUCUCGAUUGCUCUGCUUUGUUUCAUUGGUAAGAUUUUCGAUUAUUGAUUUUUCAUCGUUAAACUGCAUGAUUCUACUUAGAUCUUAGUUUUUUUUAGCCUUUUAAUCGAUUGCGUUAUUGAAUUGAUGUUCAUUGCGUGGCUAUUGAUUAUGUUGUGUAACUGCAGCUAGGUUUUUGAUUGCUUUUUUUCUCUCCUAAUUAUUCAUGUAAAACUGUGUAGUUCUAUUUAGAUCUUAUUUUUUGCCUUUUUAAUCGAUCGCGUUAUUGAAGUUGUUGAAUUGAUGUUCAUUGCGUGGGUUUUUGAUUGAUUUUUCUUCUAAUUAUUGACGUAUGUUUUAAAAUUUUUCAUCGUUAAACUGGAUAGUUCUACUUAGAUCUUAUUUUUAGCUUUUUCAAUUGAUUGAGUAAUUGAAGUUGUUGAAUGGAUGUCCAUUGCAUGUUUAUUGAUUCUGUUGUGAAAGUGCAGCUAGGUUUCCGAUUGCAAGUGCUGCUAGGUUUUUUGAUUGCUUUUCUCCUAAUUAUUCACUUUUUUUUUAAAAAAAAAAAUCAUCUUCAAACUUUUUAGUUUUACUUAGAUCUUAAUUUUAGCUUUUUAAUUGAUUGCGUAAUUGAAGUUGUUGAAUGAUUUGUUUCAUUGCAUGGUUAUUUAUUCUGGUUAUUUAUUCUGUUGUGCAAGUGCAGCUAGGUUUUCUGAUUGCUUUUUCGUCUAAUUAUUCACUUAUUUUCUUAAAAAAAUUCAUCGUUAAACUGUAUAAUUCUACUUGGAUCUUAUUUUUAGCCAUUUUAAUCGAUUGAGUAAUUGAAGUUGUUGAAUGGAUGUUCAUUGCAUGGUUGUGUGAGUGCUGCUAGUUUUUUGAUUGCAUUUUCUUUUAUUUUUUUCAUCGUUAAACUGCAGAGUUCUACUUAGAUCUUAUUUGCAGCUUUUUAAUUGAUCGCAUUAUGAAUUUUAAAGUUAUUGAAUGGAUGUUCAUUGCGUGGUUAUUAAUUCUAUUGUGUAAGUCGCAGUUUCGUUCUGAUCUAAUUUGUUUUCAGUCUUAUUUCUGAUCUAUUUGGUUUUUAGUUGUUCGAUUGAGAGAGACUAUAUUAACUGAUGUGUGAGGACUCCUAAUUUGGUUUAGAACACAGAUUAUUAGUAUUGGAACGAAAAACAAGUGGAACACAUAUAGGUAGUUCAUAUAGCAUAUUAUAUCUUGUUUGGGAUUGAUCGAUUGGUUGUGCCUGCCGUUCAAAAAACAGCUUAUUUGGUAGCUGUUUUGCCAAAAGUGAGCUGAAUUAUGAGUAGUAUUAAUGAAGUGGGUGUGCCUGGAUGUCUUACUUAAGUACUGAAUGGCUCUACUGGUUGUUGGUUAAUUUUUUGGUUUAGUUGUUCAAGGAGUGGAACCUAACUAGACUCCCCCACCUCCGUUGGGGGAUGGCUAUGCUAUGGUAAAAUUUCACAGUAAUCAUGUAGGUUAUUUAGUUUGAAAAGUAUGAAGACUUUGGGCAUGGGUGAUAUAUAUGUGGUCUACUUUGGAACUUUGCAAUCUUAAGUUUCUCUUUGAAGGGUUUCUAGAGUAAUCAAUUUGAAUGCUUAUUUAUGCACUGAUAAAAUUACCUAAGAGAGCGGUGUCUUUCUUUGGCAGAUUUAUUAUUUUGUACCUUUAUUGUUUCAUUUAUUCAUCUCUAUGAAUUUUCCAAUUUGUUUCAAAUUUUUUUGUUAGAAUAGGUGCCGUUUUUCUAGCCUACUAUGACCUAUAAAGGAGUUCAAUUUUAAAUCUUAAGUGUGAAAUCUUUGUCUGCAGUCUGUCAUGACAUUCAUAUUAUUUACUUUCUGUACCUUGUUCUGACUCGUGGCUCUUCUCUUUGAAGGUUGAAGGUAGUCUGCUUUCUGUAGAUUUUCAAAGCUGUGGUCUAAGUGAAACUUCUUUUAUGUCCGAACAAGCCAUCUUCUAUUUGGGAUCCAUUGGAUUGCUUGGAGAGUAUUGUCCUUGGUCAAGAAAAAAGAACCGUCAUUUCUCUGGUCAGGUUGACUGUAUGCAUCUCGAAUCAUUCAAAGAAGAACAGUUAGACUUUUCUGGUCGUUGGAAGGCACAACCGGCACUUAACAAUUGCGCUGCUGUAGAGUUCUCUGAACAUUCCUAACACUUCAUCCAGGACUCUUACUUAAUCAAAGAUGGCUUUGCAGAACAUAGGUGCCAGCAACAGAGAUGAUGCCUUCUACAGGUAUAAGAUGCCCAGGAUGCUUACCAAGAUAGAGGGCCGUGGGAAUGGCAUCAAGACAAAUGUGGUGAACAUGGUUGAUAUUGCCAAAGCAUUAGCAAGGCCCCCGUCCUACACAACAAAAUAUUUUGGAAAUGAGCUUGGGGCUCAGUCGAAAUUUGAUGAAAAAUCUGGAACUGCCCUUGUCAAUGGAGCUCAUGAAACUCCCAAGCUUGCUGGUCUUCUUGAAAACUUUAUUAAGAAAUAUGUUCAGUGCUAUGGUUGCGGAAAUCCUGAAACAGAGGUCAUAAUAACCAAAACUCAGAUGAUCCAACUAAAAUGUGCUGCAUGUGGUUUCCUUUCUGACGUGGACAUGAGGGACAAGCUGACAACUUUUAUACUUAAGAAUCCGCCUGAGACGAAGAAGGGCUCCAAGGACAAGAAGGCUAUGAGAAGAGCUGAGAAGGAGCGUCUGAAGGAAGGCGAGGCUGCUGAUGAAGAGCUGAAGAAGCUGAAGAAAGAAACAAAGAAAAAGGUUUCCUCCAAAGAUGCUAGCACAAAACCUAGUUCUAAAAAGAAACAUGGUAGCUCCGAUGAGGAUCGUGCUUCACCUCCUAGAAGUCAUGUUAAUGUGAAAGAAGAGGAGGAUGAAGAUGAUGAUGACGAUGUCCAGUGGCAGACUGAUACAUCGUUGGAAGCUGCUCAGCAGCGUAUACAAGAACAGCUAAAUACUGCGACUGCUGAAAUGGUUAUGCUGUCCACAGUUGAGUCAGAGAAGAAGAAGUCCAAGGCCCUAAGUCCUAAAGCUGCUUCGGUGACACCAGAGAUUUCCAAGACCGAGAAUGGAGUGACAAACCAUGAGAGGCUCGUUGGAGAAAUAAAAACAAAUCUAGCAAAGGGAGUUAUUGCCAGUAAAUUGCAAUCCUUUUUGGGUUCUCUCUCUGGAUCUCCUCAGGAAGUUAUUACUGCUUUGUAUGAGGCACUCUUGGAUGGUGUUGAGAAAGGAUUUGCCAAGGAGGUUAUUAAGAAGAAAAGCUACCUUGCUGCCAUUGCUCAAGACGAGGAGUCUCAACUACGAUUGCUUCAAGCUAUAGAAGAGUUCUCUGGGAAAUCCAACUCAGUUGCACUGAAGGAAGUGGCUCUGGUUUUGAAAGCUUUGUACGAUGAUGAUCUGUUGGAAGAGGAAUAUAUAGUACAGUGGUACAACAAGGGUGUUACUGCGAACAAGGACUCCAAAAUUUGGAAGAAUGUCAAACCCUUUGUCGAAUGGCUACAGAGUGCUGAGUCCGAAUCCGAAGAGGAAUGAGAUCAGAUUGCUGUCUGGUGUGCUUUAGUUUGCUUUCCCUGAAUGACCACCAUAUUUUAAAUUCAUGUUUUUUUUUUUUUUUAAUUUUUUUUUUUUUAUGUUUGUGUUGUUUGUUUGCCUUUGGUGCAGACUCGUAUUGGGUCCAUAUUGCAAGACUCUUUUGCCUCUUGCCUUUUAAGUGUCUUUUACGUGAGUAGAACUUUUAAUUAUCAUGUUUUGGUGUUGAGUCAUACACUCCAACCUUGUCUUGCUGUUACAUUUUAUAAGUCAUGUUAUUAUAUUAUAUGCUCCGUUGUACUGAACAAAAAUCCUUGAGUUUAAAAAUGUUAAGCUUAAUAUCAAUCAACAAGUGCAUAUACAAAGUAGCCAUUCAUUGAAUGGACAGCCACCAAAUGUGUUGGAUUGACAACAUUAUACAGUCAUCUGUUUUAUAAUAUUUCUUAUAUUAUAUUAGUUCAUGCAUAAUUUGUGUCCACUUGACAAAAUGGUGAUGUGCCACUUUGGUGACCAGACAAUCCAUAUAGUUUAAAGUGGUAUAGUUCUUCAACUAUGUAUUUGCAAAAUCAGUACACAUUCAGUCUUUAGCUAACGUUUUCUACAAAAUAUCAAGUCAUCAAUGGAAUGCAUUAAUUUUCAUCAUAUUCGGACAUCGGUAUAUGUGCAUAAAAACAAUGAUUUGGGCAACCAAAAUUUAAACUGAAAAUAAUGACGACAUAACUCAUGAAACAACAACAAAAAUUGUUAUAAUGUACCAUAUGCAAAUUGUAAGAUUAGAAAUUAAAAAUCAAAGAAAAAAGACUUUGCAAUUAUACAAUUUGUUUAAAAUUUCAAAGUUCUAUUUAAUAAGAACUAACUAAAAUUUCAACUUCAAAUUAAUCUAUUUCAAAUCAUUUCCAAACAAGACAUGGGAACCAUUUUUAGCUUUUUCUAAAAGUAUAAUACAUAAAUGUAUUAUUUAAUUUGACUUUAACUGACAAUUAUAUUUUUAACUUUUACUCUGCACAAAUAAAUCGUACAUAACAGAACACGUGCAUUUAUUUGUUUAAUUCUAUUGUGCACAUUCUAAAUUAGAGGGUAUGGAUAUGGGCCGAAUCCAAGUUAAAGGGUGUUUAUGUCUUUUGAUUUUUCUAAACUCUUCUCUCUCAAUUUUUCUUUCAAACCCUGUGUAUAAAAUUAUAAAUGAAGGAAACUUCUAGACCGGUUCUCCUCUAUCACCACCACUUCCCUAUCCUUUAUUAUUAAACCCUAUUCUACGUUUUUCUUCAAUUGCUCUCCUCAUCGUAUUGCAGAUUGCUCUGCUUCGUUCGAUCAAUAAGGUAUUUUUGAUUACUUUUUGUUCUUAUUUUCAUCUUAUUCUAUGCUUUAUCAAUUGACUAGCGGAAUUUUGAAGUUGUUAAAUCAAUGUUCAUUGCGUAUUUAAUUACGUUAUACAACUGUUCAUCGUCGUCCUGAUCUAUUUUGUUUUAGUGUUUUUUUGUUCCGAUCUGUUAUUUGAAUUGAUUGAUAAUAUAUUUUACUGAUCUGAUGGCCCCCAAGGCCUAGCUCGAGUGGCAAAAGGUGGAGGAUUUGUGACUUAGGUCGCAGGUUCAAGCCCCACACCAUGCAAAGUGAAGCCCGUUAUUUAAGUGGAGAAGGGUAGAGGGGCGGGCCCAUUAUCCACCGAGUUUAGAAGGCUGUGAUUGGUCCAAAGGGCGGGUCACAGACGGAUUUCUCGGUUAUCAAAAAAAAAUAAAAAUAAAAUAUUUUACUGAUCUGAUGAGAUUAUUAGGCGGAUGUUUUUAGAGAAUUUUCUAGCUUUAGAUGAGUCCUAAUUUGGCUUUAAAGACUUAUUUUUUGAAUCGGAGAGGAAAUAGGAGAAAUAGAGGGGAAUGGAGAUAGGUAGUUCAUAUAUCAGAUUCCAAAUAGUUUGGCAUUGAUUGAACGGAUUUUGUAUGUUUUCAUCUGUAUAAAAUGGACACUGAUUUCUUUAGUCGGAGUAGAUUGUGAAAGAAUAGUUUAUUUUGAUAGUUGUUGCCUGUAUUUGUGGUGUUCUCUUUUUGUCAAAAGUGAGCUGAAUGUCUCUACAACUUGAAAUGAGUCGAGUUAGUGCGAAAUGGAUAUAGAUAGUUCAUAUGUCAAAUUCCAAAUAAUUGCAUUGAUUGAAUGGAUUUUGUACGUUUCAAUCUGAAUAAAACGGACAUUGAUUUCUUUAGUCGGAGUGGAUUGUAAAAUGAUAGCUUAUUUGGUAGUUGUUGCCUAUAUUUGUGCGGUUCCCUUUUAGUCAGAAGUGAGAUGAACAGUGUUAUUAAAAGCGAGCGUGAGAAGCGAAGCUGGUAUCGCUUUUUUUUUCAGUACAGCGAGCCUAUAGUGAAAAAGCGAGCUUCUUUGGUCCCAGAAUUGAGAAGCGAGACUUCAGUAAAAAGCGAGAAAAAAGCUCAUUUUUCUGCUUAAGCAACAGUAACUAGUUCUUUUUUAAAAAAAAAUAAAAAAUUGUUAAAACAUUUUGCGACUUCUUUCUGAACAUUUCCCACUGUUUCACUUCUUCUUCUUUGCUCUGUUUCUCUACUGCGAGCUUGCGCUAAGGUUUUCUUUUUCAACUUGUAAUCUUCAAUUUUCUCUGUUUUGCAAUAUAAUCUUCUCUGCGAUUGUGCUACAGCGUUGUCUUUUUUUUUUUCCUUACUUUUUUUGCAAUUUUUUUACUCUAUUUUGUAUUUAUUUCUCUGUUUUGUGCUGUUUAUGUCCAUACUCUGCAAUUUUUCCUCUUUUUUGUAAUGGUUUUUGCUAUUCUGUCUCUGUUUUCACCUUUCUGUGUUUUUGUAGUACAUUCUAUUUACUUUUUAAUUUAAGAAAUGAAAGAUUUUCUUAAUAUGUUAUUUCUAUUGAGUUCUUGAUUAUUUAUCAAUGCACAUUUGAUAUUUUUUAUUUUUGUACUAAAUAGCGCUUUAGUUUUUAUUGUUUAUUUGCUUCACACUUCUCGCUUUGGUGAAAAGCGAGCGCUUGUUGAUUUUUACGCCCCUCACUUUUCAAAACACUGGAGCAGAAUGGCUCUACAGUUUGAUCCCUAAUUUUUUAUGCAUUUAGAUUGUAAUGGAGUGGAAACAUUUCAAGUGGGAACACAAAUUAUAACAAGAAUUGUGUCGGCUAUUCAUUCUGUUGAAGAAGUAUUAAGACUUCCGCAUUGGGGAUAAACAUAGUCUAGUUUUUGAAAUUAAGCAAUCUUGGGGUUCUCUUUCAUGUUUUUGUAGGUUAUGCAGUUUGAAAGCUUAUAUACACACUGAUAAAUGACCCAAGGUAAUGUUGAAGUUCCUUGGCAGAUUAGUUUAUCAUUAUGUACCCUUAUUGUUCCUAUUCAUAGAAAAGUUUUAUAGAACAUGUUGCUUUUCAAGCUGCUAUUGCCAAAAGGAACUCAUUUUUCAAUCUUAAGGGUAGAACAGUUUGUGACUGUCAUUAUUAAAAUCAUUUACCUCAUUUAUUAAUAUAAACUUAGUGUAGUAAUUUUUAGUUUCCUUGCCUGUAGUUGAUUCGUGGUUCGUUUGUUUGAAGGUUGCAGGUGGUGUGCCUUCUGUAGAGUUCCGAAGUUGUAGUAGUCUAAGUGAAACUUCUUUUAUGUCCGAACAAGCCAUCUUCUAUUUGGGAUCCAUUGGAUUGCUUGGAGAAUAUUGUCCUACGUCAAAGAAAAAGAACCGUCAUUUCUCAGGUCGGGUUGACCGUAUGCAUCUCGAACCAUUAAAGGAAGAGCAUUACGACUAUUCUGGUUGCUGGAAGGCACAAUCAGCACUUUGCAAUUGUUCUGCUGAAGAAUUCUCUGAACAUACCUAACACUUCAUCCAGAAAUUUCUUACUGAAUCAAAGAUGGCUUUGCAAAACAUAGGUGCCAGCAACAGUGAUGAUGCCUUCUACAGGUAUAAGAUGCCCAGGAUGCUUACCAAGAUUGAGGGCCGUGGGAAUGGUAUCAAGACAAAUGUGGUGAACAUGGUUGAUAUUGCCAAAGCAUUAGCAAGGCCCCCAUCCUAUACAACAAAAUAUUUUGGAAAUGAGCUUGGGGCUCAGUCGAAAUUUGAUGAAAAAUCUGGAACUGCCCUUGUCAAUGGAGCUCAUGAAACCCCUAAACUUGCUGGUCUUCUCGAGAACUUUAUUAAGAAAUAUGUUCAGUGCUAUGGUUGCGGAAAUCCUGAAACAGAGGUCAUAAUAACCAAAACUCAGAUGAUCCAACUAAAAUGUGCUGCAUGUGGUUUCCUUUCUGAUGUGGACAUGAGGGACAAGCUGACAACUUUUAUACUUAAGAACCCGCCUGAGGCUAAGAAGGGCUCCAAGGACAAGAAAGCUAUGAGAAGAGCUGAGAAGGAGCGGCUGAAGGAAGGCGAGGCUGCUGAUGAAGAGCUGAAGAAGCUGAAGAAAGAAACAAAGAAAAAGGUUUCCUCCAAAGAUGCUAGCGCAAAACCUAAUUCUAAAAAGAAACAUGGUGGCUCUGAUGAGGAUCAUGCUUCACCACCUAGAAGCCAUGUUAAUGUGAAAGAAGAAGAGGAAGAAGAUGAUGAUGAUGACGACGUCCAGUGGCAGACAGAUACAUCGCUGGAAGCUGCUCAGCAGCGUAUACAAGAACAGCUAAAUGCUGCGACUGCCGAAAUGGUUAUGCUGUCCACAGUUGAGUCUGAGAAGAAGUCCAAAGCAGCUACUCAAACCCCAAGUCCUAAAGCAGCUGCUUCUGUGACACCUGAGAAUCCCAAGACCGAAAAUGGAGAGACAAACCAUGAGAGGCUUGUUAGGGAAGUAAAAACAAAUCUAAAGAAGGGAGUUGCCUCCAGCAAAAUACAAUCCUUUUUGGGUUCACUCUCUGGAUCUCCUCAGGAAGUUAUUAUUGCUUUUUAUGAAGCACUCUUGGAUGGCGUUGAGAAAGGAUUUGCCAAGGAGGUUAUUAAGAAGAAAAGCUACCUUGCUGCUGUUGCUCAAGACGAAGAGUCUCAACUCCGAUUACUUCGAGCUAUAGAAGAGUUUUCUGGGAAAUCCAACUCAGUUGCACUGAAGGAAGUGACUCUGGUUUUGAAAGCUUUGUAUGAUGAUGAUCUGUUGGAAGAGGAAUAUAUAGUACAGUGGUACAACAAGGGUGUUGCUGCGAACAAGGACUCCAAAAUUUGGAGGAAUGUCAAACCCUUUGUCGAAUGGCUGCAGAGUGCUGAGUCCGAGUCCGAAGAGGAAUGAGAUCAGAAGUGUUCCCCCCUGAUCAGAUUGCUGUCUUAAGCCGGUUUGAUUUGCCUGUGAUGCUAUCGUGUUGGACAUUCACAUGUGUGUUAAUCUUGUGAUGUUUGUGUUAUCUGUUUAUGUAUGUUUUAUUUCAUGAUAUUUGUAUUGUCUGUUUGUCUGUGCUGCAAACUCAUGGGAGGCUCCUUUUCUCAGUCUCUGGCCUUCAUUUUAAUGUCUUUACGUUGAUAAAACUUCCCUUUAUUUGGCAUUAUCUCCUAUAUUAUUCAUAAAAGGAACUUCUUCUUCAGUAGUUUUUUGUCAUGAUCACUACUAAUCCUUAUUUGAGGCAUGUAUGAAUCUAGUGGAUUUUGGCUUAGUUUGGCCUCCUUCCCUACCUCAAGGGCAUACGUAAUAUAUUUUGUUUCGAUUUUUCAAAAAUAUUGACGCGGGUGUUAUAAUUUUUCAAUUUGUUUUUUGUGUCAAGAAAACUAUAGGUGGAGACAAGUUUUCAACAUAUUUUGGCAAUACCGCUGCUACAUUUGUGAAUAUAAAAACCACGAUUGACCCUGCUCGGCUUUAACGCAGUGCUCCAUAUUUUUAACUCAUGCUAACUAUUAACGUGCAACAUUGAUGAAGAUUAAAUAGAAUGUUUUGCCAAAAAAAAUCAAGCCAAAGGAGAGAAUUAUUGUUAGGAUCUUGUCUUAAUUUUCUUACCAUAUGUUGAUUUUACUUUUCUCACGAAGGAAAGACAUUAUCACCAAAUACGCCAUAAUCGAGAUUAAUGCACAAACUCUAUAUUAUAUACAAUAGGUUUAAGAUUACAAUAUGCAGAACUCUAAGGUUUUACAUGCUUUAAUGAUAUUGAUCUAAUCUAUUCACACAUUUUCUUCUGCAGGAAAUAUGUAGACAUUGAACAAAAGAUUGGAUCUAUUAACCUGUUCAAAGACACAAACAUCACCUACUUUAAUAUUAUUGUCGAACACAAACUCCUUCCAACCUAAAGUCAAUUUUGCAUAUUCUUUUGCGCGGUUGCAUUUUAAAGUCCAUGAUCUCUUGCUUGGAACUUGCAGCACCAGAUCACUACGUUUAGCGGAAAAAAUUUCCCACCCAAUCACCCGAGGUAUGUUCUGUAAAAAAAGUUCAAACCAAAAGAUUUACUAUCAUUAGAGUGUAUGCAGAGCUUACCCCUAUCUCAUAGAGAUAAAAAUGUCAUUUUCAGUAGACCCUUAGCUUAAAAAACGCAUUUCAAGCUGUUUAAAAAAGGGAAUACAGAAAUACAACAACAACAACCGGGUCUGGGAGGUUAGAGUGUAAGCAAACCUUACCACUACCUUGUGGAGAUAGAGAAGUUGUUUCUGAAAGACCCUCGGCUCAAGUGCAUCAAACCCAAGUAAAAGAAGAAGAAAACAUAACAGUUAAUAAAAAAAACAUGUAAAGUCUACCUAAACAAAACAAUAACAGCAUAUGACAAGAACUACAAAGGUAUGACUAGUACUACAACAGACACUAACAAGCCUAAACUUUCGCAAAGCAGGACAACAUUCAACCCCUACUAACAUUCUAGCCUAAUACUCAAUCUCCACUCCUUACUGUCUAGAGUCAUGUCCUCAGUAAUGUGAAGUCGCGCCAUAUCUUUUCUAAUCAACUCUCCCCAAUACAUUUUCAGCCAAUCUCUACCCCUCUGCGUACCCCCUACAAUCAACCUCUCACACCUCCUCAUUGAGGCAUCAAUUCACCUCUUCUUCACAUGUCCAAACCAUCUCAGUUUCGCUUCCCUCAUCUUGUCCGCCACAGAGGCCACUCCACCUACUCCUGGAUAACCUCAUUCUUAAUCUUGUUGCUCCUAGUAUGACCAUACAUCCAUCUCAACUCAUCUCCACAACAUGCAUCUUCUGAACAUGGGAGUUCUUGGCUGGCCAACACUCCACUCCACUCCACUCCACUCCAUACACAAGGACGGUCUAACCACCACUUUGUAGAACGUGGUACCUUCUUAUCACAAAAGAUUCCAGCGGCAAGCCUCUAUUUCAUCCGUGCUGCCCUAAUGCAAUGCGUGGUAUCAAUGUCGAUGUCCCUACUACCUUGGAUUACGGACCCAAGAUACUUAAAACUUUCUCUCAUAGGGAUAGUCUGUGUGGCAAGUCUUACUUCCACGUCCGCUUCAUCCAACACAACACUAAAUUUGCACUCCAAUGGAAGUGUGAAAUGGAAAAUAGUGCACAAGUUACAAAGAAAGAACAAUAACAAUAGCGAAAUGAUGCAAUAACCGAAGCACAAACAAAUGCAGGUGAUAACCGAUAUCGAAGAACAAACUACGAGAAUAUUGCUAAUAGUAUUGGUAAGAAAGUAGGUAGGUACAUGUAGCUUUAUUAGGAGUUAGGAUACAAAAAUUUGAGAGUCCAACAGAUCUUCAAAGAAUACACAUCUUACCAACGAAUUGCCAGAAACAUAUGAUGAUUGCAUAACACGAAUGAAGAAUGGAUUUUCAGAUGUAAAAGCUUUUGCUCUUUGAUAGUCUGCACUAAUGUAUUGAGAACAUGGAUCUUCACUAUCAGAAACGACCUCUGCAUGCUUUGAUGUGUUAAAAACUGCUGGAAAUAUGAUCACAUUUAUCGACACGGGCAUUGUGCCCUCAAUCACUUUAAAGACACAAACAUCUCCAGUUUUUAACUUGUUGUCUAGCACAAGUGCCUUCCAACUAAAUUUAGCAUUUUUUGUUCCGAUAGUGCAUUUGACAGACCAAGAUCCUUUGCCUGUAACACUAAGCACUACAUUGCGAUGGUUUAGGAAAUACCUCUUAGCAAAUUUCUUCGGUAUGGACUGGAAAAGAGAGAUAAAAUCAGUAACCUGAGUUUAAAAUUGUGCAUAUGCAUAUGGAUUGAAUUGAAAAAACAAAGAUUUUAGAGUAUCGGUUUAACAAAGUUUGGUUAGCUUACCAGGCUGAAUGAGUGGGAGACAUAAGAUGGAUGCAUAAUAGAUAUGAUGAAUGGAUUGUUAGAUUUAAAAGCUUUUGCUUUUUGAUAGUUUAAAGCCAUCUCUUCAUCCCUUUCUACCUCCGAUUGUUGCUCGUUCUCCCCUUGUGACUCUUUUUCCUCGAUUACGUUAUUUUGAAUGUCAACUGAAACAUCAUCAUCCUCUUCAACUCCGCCAUCUUGUCUUUUUCUUUUGCUGGCCUGUACAAAUGAACGACCUAUGUUUUCAACAGAACGCUCAACCACAUCUGAAACUUUCGUUUUUCCUCUGUGACUUUCUGGAUAAACCUCUAAAAGCUUUGGUGUUUGAUAGUUUAUAGCUAUCUCUCCGCGCUCCUCUGCCUCGUUCUUACUAGGAACAAUCUCGGAUUGUUGCUCAUGCUCCUCUUGUGACUCUUUUUCCUCGAUUACAUUAUUUUGAUUGCCAAAUGAAAUAUCAUCCUCUUCAACUCUAUCUCGACAUUUUCUUUUGCUGGCAUGUCCAAAUGAACAAUGUCCUAUGUGGUUUUCUGGAUCAAUCUCUAUAGAAUUAUCGGAAUCAUUCUUUGUUGGUGGAUAUUCGAUUUCUGUUGCACUCAAAUCAAAGAUGGUGACAUUAAAAUGGGAACAACCAUCGUAACCAAACAUCGAAAAGUGUCCACAGCUUAUCGAGUGAUAAUCUACGAAAUCUAGCCAUCCCUUGUCUAGACAAAUUUGAUCCUCAAAAUGAACCACUUCAACUUCCCAUACCUUGCCACUAGGUACCUCAAGAUAUGCAAGGUUCUUGCAGUAUCUGUUCGCAAAGUCUUCCGGAAUCCUCUGCAUUUAAAGGAAAAUAGCUUAACUCAGUUUAUCCAUCAAUGUUAUGAAAAGGAAUAGAUUUAGGGAAACAAAAACACCGGCUUUGAUCAAAAUCUAAACCUCCCAUUAUGUUGACUCUCCAAAAAUGUUGUCGCCCUCGUGCCGGAUCCUCUGAAAAAUGCACUACUUUUUGAAGGACCCAACACGUACCUAUACGCAUUUUCAAAAAGUCCGAGCAACAUAGAUUGCUACUAGGAUUGUGGCCAAAUUCGUUGAGAUUGUGCAAAGCCAAAUGAAAUUCAAUUCCUCAACAACACAUUAUAAAUUGAGAAAAUACUUAAAAUAGUCUUCUUCUUUUUUUGGGGUUCAGACUCGUUCUUUCACACAGAGCCCUAAUAAUCCUCCAUAUUUAUAGUAUUGGUGCACCUUGGUUCGCCCUCAUACUUUAGUCUCUUUUUUUUUACAUCGAGAAGUUCAUCACGUAAUAUUUCAUAUGCAACCGUAUACAAUUUUCUUUCCUUGCAACGUCAUUUGCCGACAAUAAAUUGAUAUAGUUCGAAAAGCAAAGACAGGUUCUUGGUUAUGCUGCAAUGGUGUUUGGACUGCAUGAACACUCUUCUACUCACCUUCUCUCACGUGGAGCUAUUGUAGAAGACGAUUGAACAUUCUAUAUACUAAAUUGUGGAUAAACCAACAUUAAAAAACAGACCAUAAUUAGGGGAUGACCGAAUUUGCACCAAUAUUGUAAACAUGAGGGGCUAUUAGUGCUUUAUGCGGAAAAAAAAAAAAACCAUGACUUUGAGUCAUAGUUCAAAGAUAAAAGACUAUUUUGGGUUUUUUCACUAAUAUGUUUUUGACUAUUCAAAAUCCUGGACUGAAUUUAGACGGGGUCAGAAUAGACUGAGUUAAUAAAUACAGUUACUCAAGGUGAAAAGGGAUAAAAUGUAGGUUAAAAGUCAACCUCCAAUAGAAGGGGCGGAGCCAGCAUAAUGUUAGGUGGUAGGGUUCAUCGAAAUCCUAUUCAACGGAAAAUAUAACUAUUUAUAUAUGGUUAAUUUAUUUUAUUUUAUGUAAAUAUAGUAGAUAUCGAACUCCUAUUCCGCCGGGGAGGUGCAUUAUGGUGAAAAAAAAGAGAGAAGAAAGUAGUUACGAGGGAGGUGCAUUGUGGUGAAACAAUGAUCUUAUAGAACUUGGGUUGUGCUUUUGAAACUUCACCGCUUUCAUGCUUGCUUGCAGCCAUCACAAAUCCGCCUGUUGAACGCUAAAAAGUUUUGGGAAAUUUAUUAAAGCCUAAUUUCCAAAUUUAAACUCCAACCCUAUUCUCUAAUUUAUCACCAAAUAUAGAGUUCAGGGCGACAAUAUGAGUAUUAUUAUUUUUAUUUUCUUAUUUAUAAUAUAAAUCAUUUCUUCUAUAUAAAAUUUUGUUUUUUUCAAUUUUUUUAUCUAAUAUAAAUAUAUUUUUAUAAGUUUUCAUUUCUUUUGAAUAAAGUGAAAACAAAACUACCUCUUAAAGUGUGACUUGACUCUAAAAUAAACUUAUUAAAAUACGAUAAAAAAAUAAAAUAUUCAAUUUAAAUCUAAAAAAAUAUUUAAGGAAUAAAAAUGAUGUAAGACGUUAGAUUUGAUAAAAAAAAAUUUACGUAUCUACGAAAUCAUUGAUCAAUGAAAAAUUGCAGAACAAGAUGAUUGAACCCAUUUUAUAUGCUUUAAUUCAUAAAGAAGACCUAAAUUCAUACAGAUUGCUUUACUUCACCAGAUUGAACCUUACGACCUUUGUUGGAUCGAUCGUUCUCAUGCAUCUAACCGAAGGUCUAUCAGAAACAACAACAUACCCACUAUAGUCCCACAAGUGGGGUCUGGGGAGGAUAGAGUGUACGCAUACCUUACCCCUAUUUCUCAUAGAAAUAACACGACUGAAGAAGUCAUGACAAAAUACUACAGAACGCAUGUCAAAGCAUUCAGAAAAAAGAAACAUAACUACGACAAAAUAAUAAGAUAAUCGAAGUGUAAGAGACAACACUUCCAUAGAAACAAGUGGAACAGAAAGCUACCCCAGCUUCAAUAGAGAGCAUAUCAACAUUAACAAAGUAGACAAUAGCAACUGCUCUAAUUUCAUCUUUUUCUUCCUUGCAAAACCCCCAAAAAACAGAACUGAGAAAGUGUGAGUAUCUAACGGGAAGAGAACAAAGUAUACAAGUUGUCAUCCUUCUCUUCCUCUUCGUCAUCAAACUCAGGACCUUGACUCGUCAGAUUCCUCUUGUUCGGCAUCUACAACAGCCACUCGCCUGUUAUACGCAUUCAUUCUCUUUGCAUAUUCUAACUUCCUUUUCUCUUCCUCCGCUAUAUAAGGAGCUUUCUCAGCAUCUGACAUCUGCUUCCACUUGCUUCCACCAGCUUUCCCAACAACAGCAAUAGAUUUGAUGCUCGGAUUCAGCUCACGGAACUGCUUUCUGAACUCCUCCAUGAAAAUGAAGUAAGCACUUGUAGGCCUCUUAGGUAUAUCAAGACCCCUGGCAGGCCUUCUCAACUUUUUUAGUCCUGGAGUUUUCUUCUUCAUGUGGAAUACAUAAUUAGCUUUGGCAUUGGAUUUAUCGCCUUCAUGAGGAAACCGUUACGGUUGAGAAAAUGAACAAGAGAGACAACAACAACAACAACGACAUUCCCAGUAUAGUCCACAAGUGAGGUCUGUAGAGGGUUGAGUGUACGCAUAUCUUACCUCUACCUCGGCAAGUAGAGAGAUUGUUUCCAAUAGACCCUCGUUCAAGAAAAGCAAAAAACACAACAUUUAUGAAGACAUGAGAGACUAAGAAUGAGAAACACAAAAAUGGUAAAGUAAUAUAAUAAAAAUAUCGAAAAUAAUACUAAUACUACUAGCAAGAGAGACUGAAAGGGAAAUCUUUGGGGAGGGAUUCCAAGGGGAUCUCAACAUAUGGUCAGGAUAACAUACAUGUCUCUAACUAGACUAAAACAAUAAAAAAAUAUCGCAAGCUUAAUGCAAGUGCAACAACAAUUAGGAUCCGAUCCAAAUUAGAUGGUAUGAUCAAACGACAUCAUUUAUAGAUGAACUGAAAACAGUUAGAUAUACCAAACAAGUAAAGUGAUCGAUGUUUACCUUCUUUAGAGUCACUGGAUGGAUCAACUUCGGACCUCGACUUGUCAGGUUUCUCUGCUUCGGCAUAUCCAGCAGCCAUUAGCUGGUUAUAAGAAUUCAAGACCUUUGCAUAUUCGACCCUCCUUUUCUCUGCCUCAGCAUAUCCAGCAGCCAUUAGCUGGUUAUAAGAAUUCAAGACCUUUGCAUAUUCGACCCUCCUUUUCUCUGUCUCAGCUAUAUAAGGAGCUUUCUCAGCAUCUGACAUCUGUUUCCACUUGUCUCUGACAAGUUUCUCGACAGCAUCAAAAGAUUUGAUGGUUGAGAAAAUGAACGAAAGACACGAUUUAACUCCUGACAUGGCAUGAUCUAACAAUAACAAACAGCAAAUUUAAUACAGGUACAACAGUAAUUAGGACUCCUCUGUGCAGAUUAGUUGGUAUGAUCUAAAUAACGUCAAAUGUAAAAAGAAACAUGUUACCUAAAUGUGAGUAGCUAGGCUAUUCCCUGUUUUUCGAGCAACUUGAUGGAUCGAUGCUUUCUUCCACAGAGUCUGAUGAUUCUUUCGAAUUUCUUGAAGCUUCAAUAUCCUCCUCCUCUUCUUCCGAACUGCUGCUGAGUUCCUUGAAAGGUUGUCUCCCAUGAAAGUUUCUACCACUUUUCUGGGUGUAGGGAACGACUAGGAAAGUCGAUUUGUCAACGAGAAAGAAGAGCAAGACAUCCCCUGGCCUCAGUUUGUGAAGACCACAAACUGUGGCCAGUCUCCUUCACAGAUGAAGAAAUUGGAAUUCUUUCUUAUUAUCUUUGCUUCCCACAACACCCCUUCGUUCGUGUGCAGUAAGCAAGUCUUCGCCAACAUCUUUUUUAGUCCAUUGAUGAAAGCAGGCGGAAUUUGCUAACAUAUCAAAGUUUCAUGAUUAGCAAAAGUCAGUUGGAAAAGUAGAAAUGGCAAUGGAGCGGGGUAGGGACAGUGCAAAAGCUUAACAGCACAAGGUGGAAGGCAAAAUAUAACAAAAAUUUUAAACACGGCAAAGCAUGGCGAGUCAGACCCGAAUUUGAAAUUUCAAAUGGCAUAUAUAGAAAUUACAUAAGCCAUUAUUGGAUGUGUUACAUACAAAUAAUUGGUUCUUUUGACAACAACAACAUAAACAUAACCAGCGUAGCCCCACAAGUAAGGUCUAGGGUGACUGUAGUGUACACAGACCUUACCCCUACCUUUGUGGGGAUAGAGACGUUGUUUCAAGUAGACGCCUCGAAAUUGAUGCUUUUGAAAGGAUGGAUAUUAAAGUCAAAAGCUGUAUCUGUUAUGAUUCAUUGGAUUGCUACCAUUGUUCUUUCAAAUGCAAGUUCAUAUGAAAAUUAUUUGAACAUAAACAUCAUUUGAAAAAGUAGUUUUUGGUCAUACAACCUUGGAGCAACGAUAAAAUUAUCUCCAUUAACCUAUAGAUCACGAAUUCAAGCCACGAAAACAACUACUAAUGCUUGCACUACAGUAAGUUAUCUACAUCUCACCAUUGCGCCCUCUCUUACAUUUGGUGCAUUGAUCAAAUUGAAGUUUCUCUAUUUCAAGUUUUCACUCACUAAACUUCAAACUCCAUUCAAUAAAAUUCAUAUUAGAACACAAUUACAAAGUACAAUAACAUAUCCUAAUCACAAAAGUGGGCUCUGCGAAAUAACAUAAGAGUAAUAAAAUACAAAAUUCUUCAAAGUUACAAACAACAAAAAACUAUCCACAGUAAAAGUAAGUCCUGACUAAUUACAUGAAAUAACUGUGAAUUAUUGAAUGGUUUUGAAUUAUUCCACUUAAAUACCCAAAACUUAACUUUUUAACUUCAAGAAAAUUAGUAAAAAAGAAAAAGAACUUACUAUAUUAUGCAUACAAUUUGCAUUGGGUAAAAGCAAGAGAAAUGAUGGAUGCUUGCUAGGGUCCACUAGCAUUUUUCAGAACUUGAAAUGACAAAAAACAAAGAAUGAGGAUGUUUAUAAGAUGAAAAAUUAGGGUAGCACAAUAUUCUUGAAAGUUAAAAGUGAAAAAUAAAUAAAUAUAUAAUACUCCGUCUGUUUCAAAUUAUGUGACAUGUUUUGUUUUUGGACAGUCAAACAAUUUAAGUUUGAUCGAAAAUUUGCGCUUGAAAUCUUCAAUUUUUUUAAAUAAAAUUUAUAUGUCUGUAAAUUACGUAAAAAAAUAGUGUAAGUCACAAUAAUUGACAAUUCAAAAUAUUUAAAAGAUACAUGAAAAAUUUACAUUAUAAAUAAACAUUUGAAUCUCAAAAUUCAAAAUAUGUCACAUAAAAUAAAGAGAGUGUUAAGUUCUUUUAUAGGGAAGCGAAAUGAAAGAAAUAAAAUGAGAGCACAAUUUUCUGGGAUGAUUUUCUGUUCAUGGUCUUUAAUAGGUCAAAAAGAAAAAAGUAUUGCCCAACGCAAAACAAGUUAAAAUGAUUUAAGUAAAUGAUAAAAUCAAAGUUAAAAGGCUAAAGUCAUAUACAAUCCCGAGCUAAUACGUGCAACAAAUCCCAAUUUCUAAAAAAAUGCUUUUAUUAAAUAAAAAAUGAUGGUGAGCAUGGGUUACGUCGCUUGGCGCUUCAGCAUCCUUUACUUUGAUAUCUUAAUUAAUUGGGCAAUUUAUAUAAAUAAUAUAUUAUAUUUAAGAAUUAUGAUAUAUUUUUUACUUUUACCAAUAUUAACCUUUUUUAAUCAUAAAUCGAUCUUUCUCUUUAUUUCUCUCUCCUUGUCUUUUCUUCGGACCUGUUUGACCAUAAAUUUCUCAAGGAUUAAAUGGUCUAACGGACCCUUAUACUUGUAUGCAUUUGUAUUAUGGACCCUUCUAUUUAAUCUUUUAUCAACUGAACCCUUACACUCCAUCAAAAGAAGAUUUUGAAACCCUCUUAUCAGGUGUGUAGUUCACUCGCAUUUAAAUAAAUUAUAUAUCAAAUCCACGUCAUCUAAAUUAAUGACAUGUCAUAAUUAUCGUUAUUAACUAUUUUUUAAAACUAUUAACCAAAAUUAUAUAAUAAAAUAUGAAAUAAUAAUUUUUUAAUUUAUUCUUUAUUGUUUGAAACUCCAUACUUUAUCUCCCCAUUCCUACCUUGAAACCCUCAAAAUCUAAAGCCUUCGCCGCCGUCUUCAUCUCAGUCAUCGUCGCAACUCUUGCAGGUGACCACAUGUACUCCCUUCCUCACCCGUAUCAUCUCCGUCGUACCAUGGCCACUAGAUCUGACCGGAAAACCUCUUCACUGUCGUGACCAGAUCCCACCCUCACCGCUUCGUUCUUCUUCCACUGACCUGCGUCGUCUCUCUCACUCCAUUGCGAAUUAGUGGUCUCGGUCGAGCACGACCACCGCUGCUCACUCACAAAAGCGGGAAGAACAAAGAAAAAUGGACCGGACAGACAUGGAGAUGGCUAAAAAUGGAGGUGGGCCGAUUGGCCGAGGAAGAAAGCAUUUUUUAGUUACUAUAAUUUUUUAAAAAAGUUUCAUUAUUUUAUUGUUUUAUUUUUCUAUUUUUUAAAUAUUUUUAAAACUUAAAUAGGAUAGUCACUCGCCUUAACGAGAGUGAAUUUACGCACUUUUGCCAACUCAACUAUUUGAAUGCCACAUAAGAUUAGUCAAUGGUCUGAGGGUUUGAUAAAUUGUGAUUUAUUAAGUUUAAGGGUUCAAUUGAUAAAGAAUUAAGUAAAAGGGUUCACAAUACAAACUCAUACAAGUACAGGGAUUUAUUAGACCAUUUCGCCAUUUCUCAAGUAAUAUUUGGGGGGAAAUUGGAAAAUAGCGUUUGUCCAUACAAUUUGUCAUUAUUUGACAAAUAUUUUCGGAAAAUAUCCCAAAUUCCCAAAUACUAGUUUUUUCUAUUAUUUGGGUCAAAUCUCAUUAUUUGUGAUCUUUUAAAAAUUGAAAUUUUACACCAAACCUUUAUCUUUUACAAAAAUACCCUCUAUUAUAGUUGUUUGCGUUGUAUUACAUAAUUUUAUAUGUGAACACCAAAGUAGUGAUGAAAUAUUCAGUGAAUAUGAAAGUAAUGAUAUGGUUGUUGAUAAAAUGAUGAACAAUCGGCUCAUGGUAACAAAGUCAUGUGUUUUGUCUACUUCAUGAUGUAUGGAAUGAUGCUUGCUGCACUCACUCUAAACUACCACAUUGCUCCAGUGUCAUGGACACUACUUGUUAUUUGUUGCAACGAAGAUCCAAUUAACUUGUAAUGCAAACUUAUGGUUAGUUUUGAUAGUUUUUAAAACCUAUAGGUAUAAAUCAUAUUUUUCUAAAAAAGUGAAAUAUGUUUUCCAAAUACUAUGGCCAAACACAUGGUGAUAUUUCACCCAAAUUUUUACCCAAAUAGUAUUUGCCAAGAAUAUUUGAAAAUUUAUGGCCAAACGCUAGCUUCAUUUUUCUCUCUCUUUCUCCUUCUCUUCUUUCCAUCAUUUUCUCUCUCUUUCCUUCCUCGAUCUCUUUUCUUCCGACAUUUUCUCUUUCUUUCUUUUUUUUAAAAAAAAUCAAUUAUUUUAAUAUUUAAGAAUAUUUGGUGAAGAUUAUUUUUUAUUUUGAAAAUAUGAAGAUGUUUUUUAACAUUAUUAAUAAAAUAAAUAAAUAUAAACUAUAUUGGUAAUACAUUUUGAAUUCAAUACAUUAUAACUAUUAUAAGCAUUUUUCAAUGCAUAUUGUGAAUAUAUAACUAAUAUAUUUUUAAUACAAUAAUAUAUUUUAACACCGUUUAUAAGAGAGAAAAUAAAUAAAUAACAAUUGUAAUAUAUUUGAAUUCAAUAUAUAGGCAUGUUUCAAUACACAUGGUGAAAUAUAUAAUCAAAAUAAUUUUAAUAUAAAUGUAGUAAAAGUAUUAUAUGUGAAUGUCUACACCGAUACAAUUUAAAUUAGUUUAUGUUGUUAGAAAUGUAUUAUAUUUGUUCUACAAUAACAACUAUCGAAAUCGUAAUAAUGUAUAAUAUUGAAUUUAAAUUGUAUUACAACUAUAGUUUAAUACAGUUUUAAUAUAACUUUAAUACAAUUAUUUUUAGAGCUUCACCCUUCUUCUCCGGUGAAUCACCACCGUCGGACUAUCAUCAGAUUAUCAGUAUCUCAGGUCUAAAUUAAUUUAAUAUUGUUAGAAAUGUAUUGUAUUUGUUUACAUAGCAAUAAUCGAAUUCAUAACGAUGUAUAAUAUUGAAUUUGAAUUGUAUUAUAACUAUCAUCUAUAUUUAAUGCACUUUUAAUACAAUUGUAAUACAACUUUUCAAAGAUACACCUUUUCUCCUCUGGUGAUUCACCACCAUCAAAUUAUUAGUAUCUCAAGUCAAUUUCAAAACAAAAUACCACAUAGUCUACACACAACCACCAGACUCCAUUUUUCCUAUUUUUACUAAAGCAACGAACAUAAAAACUACAAUCUUCUUUGGUUCUAAUAAUUAUAAAUUGAAAAAUAAAAUAAAAUAAACAUAAAAGAGAACGGAGAAUAGAGAUCGAACAUUAUCGAUUUUCACAGAGCUCGCCGGAGCUCCUAAUUUUUUGUUGAAAUUUGAUGAUUUUCCAAUUUGAUUUUUGUGUUGUUUGUUGUUAUUUGUUUUUUUGGUGGUGGUGUAGAUGUGAGAAUAAAAAAUGAAAGUUGGAGUGGUUGUUAUUCGUUGCUUUGUUCAUAGAUAAUAUACUUUACAAGAAAAUAAGUGGAAAAAAUUCAUUUGCCAUCAAAAUAAUAAAUUCAAAUUAGUCGUCGAAUUAAAAAAUUAAAAAUAAUGUGUGAGAAAGAUCAAAUAUACCCCUAUAUGGAUUAUUAUUUUUAAUGAAAAAUUAAUUAUUUCACAUUUGUUAGAGUAAAGUGGUAUAUGUGAGUCAUUUGUGUAGUAAUAGGGGUAUAUAUGAGUCACUUUCAUAACGAGAGGUAUUUCAGUUCUAAAUAACAAAGUUGAGGGUAUAUCAUUUCUUUUCCCUAGAAACUAUUUUAGCAUGUUGUAUUCAUUGUUAAAAAAUGGGGAAAGGAUAAAAAAUACCUCUUAACUUUCAUUUAUUAGUUGACCUUAUCCUUACCAUUAAAAUAAAGUUAAUAAUUCAAAGAGUAAAUGAUUAGCUAGUGAAAGAUAAACAACUGUAAAUAACUAAAAAUAAUCAAUGAUGUUGAUCAAAGUUAAUCUAGGUCAACAUUAAAAUUUUUAAUACCUUUUCUUUUUUAUUUUAUACGCAUUUCUUAAAUUAACUAUAUCUCAUUUAAAAGCAAUUAUGUAUUACUAGGUGAUAACCACAACAAAGUAUCAACCAAAUUAAAAAUUCAUCUUAUGCACUUUUAGUCUUCUAACGAUUUCGGUGAGUUCAAUUCUUCCAACAAGGUUAUCAAGUAAGUAUAUUGUACUAAUUAUCCUUCCAAUAUUUAGCUUAAAAUCCAUGAUAACAUUCACGAUAAUUACAUUAGACACAUCAAAUUUAGACUAUCAAGUAUAAUAAGACUUAUAUAGCAAAAUAGAAUAUACUCUAUACUAUUUAUGUUUGGGUUAAUGCACUAUCGGAGAUGCUCGUAGAUGAAGAAACUAGAGUUGAUAAGUGUUAUAAAAUAUAGCAUGUGUAGUAAAAUAAAAUGGCAAGAAGAAAAAGAGAGAAAGAGAGAGACACAAAGUAAUAGUAGUAGUAGUAGCAACUUGUUUUCUCUAUUUUUGAAUGUUUUCUUUUCACUUACGCUUACCUUAUGUUUCUUACUUUGUUACCAAAAGAAAAAGGUAUAUAUAUAUAUAUGUAUACACACACACUUGGGCAUCAAGAAUAUUACAUGAACACCUAGUUUACAACACUUUAUAUAAUGUGUGCAUUUAUAUCUUACACACAAAGCAUUGUGUGUACAUAUAUGUUACCACAAAAUAUAUGUAAGUGGACAUCCAUUUUACAACAAUUACUACCACAAAAUUGUUUUUACUUUGUGUUUAUGAGAUUGUAUUAGGAGUUCAAUUAAUGAAAUCAUAAAUAUGCGUACAAUUUAAAUAAAAUAAAAGGAUCUUUGAAACUAUUCCGUAAAAAAAACAAAUUGAUGAAUCCAUUAGGGUUUUUUUCUUUCCGAUCCCAAACAAGUUUGGAUUGACUUGGUCAGUAUAAAAAUAAAGCGAUUUUUCCGAUUUCAAACAAAUUUGGAUUGAGUUGAUCAGUAUAAAAAUCUCAUAUUUGUGAAGAUUUUGUAUUGAAAGCGGUUUUUUCGAUCCCCAAAUAAGUUUGUUGUAUUGAAAGCAUUUUUUGUAGAAUAAUUGAGUGUUUGAGACAAUCAUAAAUAAAAGUAUGAAACUAAAUUCUAAAUUAAGGACAGUUUUAUACCAAAUGAUAUAAAUCUCAUUAUUUAGUUUGCUAUUAGAUUAUCGAUUAAUCCAUUAACAAAAAAACAUAUAACCCGAUAAUAAUUAAAAAGAAAAAUUUCAAGUUUUUCAUUUGUCUCAUUGUGAUGAAGAAGGUAUAUGCACCCCGAAAAAAAGAGGUAUAUCACCACUGACCACUCAUAACAAGUGGUCCUAUUUGAUAGGCCCAACCAAGCAGAAGUCUUAGGGCAUCUCCAACUCUAAAUUCUAUUUUACUCUCUAAUUAUAAAGUUCUCUAUUUUUUCAGAUAAUCAGCUUUAACUCAGUUCUUUAUUUUAUUCUCUAAAUAAAAAUCUUUUUUUUCUCUCCUCAAUAUUAUAUUAUUAUUUAUAUUUCAUUCUUAUUUUCUUAUUUCAUAAUAUAAAUUCUUUCUUUCUUUUUCUCAAAUAAUUACUUUAUAUAAUUUUCAUGUGAUAUAAAAUUUUAUUUUUUUCAAAUUUUUUAUUUAGUAUAAAAUUUUAUUUUAUUUUAAGUUUCUAGAUAACCUAAAUUGCAAGAAAAUAUUAUAUAAUAUACAAAUUAAUGAACAAAUUCAAAUAAAAGUGAAAUACAAUUACAUAAACACUCAACUUUCAAAAUUAUUACGUUGCUCCUGUAAAUGUUCUAUUAAUGCAUUACGGAGUUCAAAAUGAGUAUUUUUGUCGUUAAUUUUUUUAUGUCUAGCUAAAAAUUAUUCAAACUGGAGAUUUUCAUCUACCAUCAUAUCCUAACUUUUUUUCUUCGAAUAGUGCUAGAUUUGGAAACGACCUAUCGGAUUACUAAAUUAUUGUUGUGAUAAAUUAAUUAUUAUGUUAUGUAUUGUAUUGUGUUUGAUCUUGUAUUUAAAUUAUUAUGUUAUGUAUUGUGUUUUUUAAAUUAAAAUUUUUCAUCUUAUCAUUUUAAUUUUGUGCAUUCUUUAUAGUGAAAAUUAAUAAUAAAAUAAAAUUAGAUUAUUGACGAAAAUUAGAAAAAAAAUUAAAAUAUUUUUAUUCGGGAUGAAAGUAGUAUAUAUUAAAUAAUAUAUUUUCUAAAAUAUUAUAUUACAUCUAAAAGGAAUUAUGAAUAUUAGAUAUUUAAUUAAUGAUAUUAUAUGUAAAAUAAGUAUGUUAAUUAGAAAAUAAUAGAAAUAAUAAUAAGAUAUUGAAAAAGUGAAAUAGAGAGUGUGAAUAGUAGUUCUCCAAAUUUGGAGAACUACUAUUUAACUCUCUAAAAAUGAAGAAUAGAGUCUUAAAUAAGAGUCCGAAACCUAAAUAAGCCACAAAAAGAUAAAAGUGACCAAAAUAAGCCACUAUUCUAGUAAGUAACUAAAAUAGGCUUAGUGGAAGAAAAAAUUUUGUUUUAUGCAAUAUUUCAAACGUUUUCUGUUAGUCUCAUAACGUGUAUAUUUUAAUAUAUAAAGGAACUAUUUCUUACACUUUGUAAAGUGUAAGAAAAACUUUCACUUUACAAAGUAUAAGAAAUAGUUCCGUUAUAUAUUAAAAUAUACUCGUUAUGAGACUAAUGGAAAACGUUUGAAAUAUUUCAUAAAACAGAAUUUUUUCCCAUUCUCUAUUUUACUCGUUGGAGAUUAUCUUAUGCUCUUGGUCAAGUAGAUUUUGCAAAAAUCCACUAUGAGACGUGGCAACUUUGGAUUGGCUGCAAUAGAGGAAAUCAACUUGUUAAGAUUUUUUAGACAUAAUUAUAAUAUAUCUAAAAAAAAUCUAGUCACAUUUUGUGGUGUUGAAACGCAAAAAGUUAACAAAUAGUCAUCCACCAAUGAGGAAACAGAUAAUGAUAUUUUAGGAUAAGGACUUUUUAGUCCUUCAAAGUCAUUUAAAUAGACUUGGUGCAAGACCAUGUAAUUCAAGCCAUAAAUCAAAUAUUAUUUGAGUGUAGUAGUAGCAGCAUUCAAGAGUAUUUCAUUUUAUUUAUACAAUGGCUGCUUCUACAAUGGCUCUAUCUUCCCCUUCUUUCGCCGGAAAGGCAGUGAAACUCUCACCAUCUUCUUCUGAAAUUACUGGAAAUGGAAAAGUCAUGAUGAGGAAGACUGUUACCAAGGCCAAGCCUAUCUCUUCUGGUAGCCCAUGGUACGGUCCUGAUCGUGUCAAGUACUUGGGCCCAUUCUCUGGUGAGUCCCCAAGUUACUUGACUGGUGAAUUUCCUGGUGACUAUGGAUGGGACACUGCUGGACUUUCAGCCGAUCCAGAAACUUUUGCUAAGAAUCGUGAGCUAGAGGUGAUCCACUGUAGAUGGGCCAUGCUUGGAGCUCUUGGUUGUGUCUUCCCCGAGCUCUUGGCUCGUAAUGGUGUCAAGUUCGGUGAAGCUGUAUGGUUCAAAGCUGGAUCCCAGAUUUUCAGUGAGGGUGGACUUGAUUACUUGGGCAACCCAAGCUUGGUCCAUGCACAAAGCAUCUUGGCCAUUUGGGCUUGUCAAGUUGUGUUGAUGGGAGCUGUAGAGGGUUACCGUAUUGCUGGUGGACCUCUCGGUGAGGUUGUUGACCCACUUUACCCCGGUGGUAGCUUCGACCCAUUAGGUCUUGCUGAUGACCCAGAGGCUUUUGCUGAGCUUAAGGUGAAGGAAAUCAAGAAUGGUAGACUUGCUAUGUUCUCCAUGUUUGGAUUCUUUGUUCAAGCUAUCGUCACCGGAAAGGGUCCAUUGGAAAACCUUGCGGACCACCUCGCUGACCCAGUUAACAACAACGCCUGGUCCUACGCCACAAACUUUGUCCCCGGAAAGUGAAGUUCUUAAGAAUAGAGUCUCCUCUAGUAUCAUAUUGGCUAAUGUUCUUGUAAACUAUUGUAAAUUAUUGGGGAUUAUAUAUGAAUUUUGAUCAAUUGUGUAGCUCUCAAUUAUACUUUUUGUGUUAUCCAUUAAUUAAAUACAAGUUAAAAUCAAGGGGUUUAAGGAGGCACACUGGCAUUUUUUGAGGUAUUAAAUUAAAUCAAAUAUAUAGUAUUAGUAACAACUAAGGUUCAAACAAGAAGUUUGCAAUACAGAAGAAAUUAUUAUUGAAAAGAUAGGCUAAUGAUUUUUUUCUUCCAAACAUAUACUGAAAUUCCAUGUAUGCAAAUUAAACAAGUUUUUUUUUUUUUUGACAAUUUGAAGGAUUGAACUUAAAUAUGAUCAAUUUGGACUAGUUGUAUUUAAUCACGCUAAGCAGCAGUAUGAAAACCAAGUUUACUUUUGUAUCUUUCCAGCUUGUUACAUUUACAUGUUCAUGUAUACCUAAAAAAUGAAUGGGUAAAGUUGUUGUCAUGUGAUUAGAAGGUAAUGAAUUUGAGUUAUGGAAAUAAUAUUGAUUAUACAUAAAUAUAGGAUAAGACUACAUCAAUAAACCCUUGUGAUUUGACCUUUUUCCCGAACCCCACGCAUAACAAUAACUUAAUUAAUGCAUCGGACUAUCAUUUUUUUCCCCUCUAGAGCUUCUUUAGAGAGAGUCCCUACUUAUGGAAACUAUUAUUUUGGACCACCGAUCCCUUUGACAUAAUCUCAGUUGUGUAAACACUGCAACAAAAAAAACUUUUAGCGAAAAUAAAUAUACACAUCAACAAAGAGGGUUAAUGCCUUUACUAGUAUUAAUUAAAUGUCAUUGGAUCCAAUGUCGCUAUAGGCUUUAGUAACACUUACAAAGAAUUCUAAUUGCCACUAAAAAUACAUAUUUAGUGGCACUGUUGCCGCUAAUAAAUUUGGUAUAGUGAAAUGAUAUGGCAGUUUGAUUGUGGAGUGACACCCGUGCAUUAGCGAAAGAUGCAAUUAGGGUGAAGAAAUGGAUAAAAUUUAGGAUAAAGUAUAGAAAUCUCAUACAUUUGAGGGCUAAUUAUAUACCAUAUUUCCAAAAGUUUUUCCAAUUACAAAAUCUCUUAUUUUCAAUCACUCACGGAUACAUUGCAAACAAUACAUUACUUAAGAUUUUGCUGCUUUAAAAAAGGAAAAUAACGGAAAAUAAGUGUCGGAUACAUUCCUUUAUUGUCGAAUGCAUCGGUCUCUAUUAUGUUGCAGGAUACAUUUGUCUCUACUCUGUUGUUAGAUACAUUGAUCUCCAUAUACAUAGCCUUUUAAGAUAAAUAACAAUGGAUGUAUGUACUGGUUAAUAAAAUAUAAUGAAAUUUGUCAUAGUUGUGUAUAUGAUACAUAACUAUGAACAUGAUUCAUACUGAUUUAUGUUUGAAAUAAUUGAGGUUAUGUAUCAAUAAUAAGAUUUGUACACGUUACAUUGUACACAAACAAUGUUAUAAUAUAUCUGAUAUUUGAAACACAUGUUACAUAAGUAACGAAACAAAAGAUGGAAGAAACUGAUGAUACAUGGCGAAAUUGUAGGCUUGAAUUUAGGGGAGUUAAGUGUGGAGUGGGGAGAAUGUGAGGGAUGUAUCCGAGGUUAGGCGAGAGAAGGAAAAAAGAUAUUUUUAUAAUUUUUUAAGUGGUCAGGAAUACUAGUGAUUAUGGUAUCUUAAGUUGUAUAUUUAUGUAAUUUUUCUUAAAAUUUAUGGUUAUUUAUUCAACCAAAUUCAUUUUAAAUGAGUUGGUUAUCCAAUCAUUUGAAAAUGGUCCAAAUAUGGAUCAACUCAUAAUCUUCAUCAUAAAAUACAAAUAAUUCAUGGGUAUAUAUCCACCAAUUGCACUCCCCUUAAAGUAUGUAAGGGCGUAGGAAUCUUUUUUUUAUUAUAAAAAUUUGGAUAACACACUGCAGGGUCAUUUGGGGAUGAUACUUUCAACAUGAUUUUCUUCAUACUCAGGGCUCAAAUCUGAGACCUCUGAUUAAGGAAGGAGCAGUCCCACCACUGCACCACAAUCCGUGUCGGCUGGUGUAGGAACCUCUAAAAUAUACAUUUAUUAAGGAUGUGUUUCGCAUGAAGGAAAAUAUUUAAAAUAUUUUUCAAUUUUCUUAUGUUUGGUUAGUUUUGAAUCUUUUGAUAAAUGUUUUUUUUAAAUGAUUUUUUUUUCUUUUAAUUUAAGAAAAAUGACUUUCAUGCCUAAGGAAAAGAUAUUUCAAAACUUUCCUUAAAUUAGGAAUAUAUUUUUUUAAAUAUUCCUUAAACAUCACUACCCGAAAUUGGUCUAGAAUUAGGAUUCCACUUCUAACCCCGACCCAACUCCUGACCACGAACGAAGACCCAAAUUUUGACCACCCAACCUUGACUCAAGACACUAAUUUUUCAAAAAAAUAUGAAAAUAUUUUCUUUCAUACGAAAGACAUCCUAGAAGGAGAAAAAAAAAUUCAAAAAAAUCUUGUAAUAUAGAAAUACAUAUUUAUUUGGGUUAAUACCUCAGAUGGUCACUCAACUAUCCACUUUUGCUUCAGAAAGUCACUCAACUUUUAAUUUUCACUAAAAAGUCACCAUGUGAGUGACUUUCUGAGGAAAGACUGGAUAGUUGAGUGACCAUCUGAGGUAUUAACCCAUAUUUAUUUUGCAUAAUAAGAAGCAAUGAAUAAUAUGGAUGAGUUUACUCAUUUUAAUUCAUGUCAAAUAUGGGUUGGGAUCAAAUAUUUUAUUCGUUUUCAUCUGACUUAUUUUUGACCAACUCAUAUAUCUGACUCGACUUACCCGUUUAUCACCCUUAGACGCAGUAUAUCUUCAUUGUGAUGCGUUCCUUAAAUCAUUACAAAUAAAUUUGAUCCCAAAUUUCAUUUUCAAUGUACCUAUAAAGUAAAAAUGCAAUAUUAGGCACAACUCACUAUAAGUAACUACACUCAAACCACGAUUAAAAGUAUUUAUAAAUAAAAUGAUGAAUUAUGAAAACAUGUUAGAUAGUACUUUAUCUGUUUCAAUUUAUUUGUUUUACUUAUUCUAAUAAAUCUGUUUAAAAAGAAUGUCUUUUUUAUUUAGGCAUGUGAAGAAGAAAUUAAAUGCUCCAUUGAGGAAGUGUGAGAGGUUGGAUAUAGUGAGUACGAUCGAAUAGAGGUAGAGGUAGGUUGAAAAAAAUACUGGAAGAGGUGAUUAGACAGGACACGAUAAAACUUCAGCUUACUGAGGACAUGACCAUAAAUAGGAGGGUGUGAAUGUCACAAAUUAGAGUAGAAUAUAAUGCUAGUAUGUAGUGAACUAACGUCUUUCUUCUUGACGGGUUAAGGUUUGGUGGUGUCUGCCCUAGUGAUAGCUUUAUUCUUGUAGUGUCUUGUUUUCUAUUUUCUGUCAGCAUUUGUUAUUUAUGGUGUUUCGAUUAGUGCUUUAUUAUGUUGUUGUUACUAUUUUCGUAUUAAUUGCUAUGCUUUCUUAAGUAUCGUUUUCCCUUUUCACUUACUUUGAUUUGUUAUACUCGAGCCGAGGGUCCUCUGAAAGCAACCUAUCUACCGCUAUGAGAUAGUGAUAUGGUAUGCAUACAAUCUACCCUUACACCUCACUUGUGGAAUUUCACUGAAUAUAUUAUUGUUGCUGUUGCAUAAACUAACAUGUUGUCUUUUAUCUACUAUAUUUAAAGGAAUUAAAUAGUAUUUAUUCAUGGAGUAAAUAAUUUUAUAUUAUCAACUAUUUUGCUAUAAUACAUGGCUUAAAUUAUGAAUCAAUUAUUAAUUUUGAAUUGAUAUUUAGAAUUUGUUGUUUAGUUUAUUCUAAAUUAUAGCGUGAAAAGGUAAAAUAGAAGCUUUUUUGAGUUAGCUAUUUUAAAUAGCGGUAAACAUCAAUUUGGGAAAAGCAUUUUAGGUGCUCAUUUGAAUUUCUUUUUGGAUAAAACUUACCUGGAUGUAUACACCAAUCCAAUAAAUGCAUGCCAUGUGUUUAAAUUUAUAGUUCAUUUUACUUGACCUUAAUUAAUUAACAUGUGUUUUACUUCAUUAAAUCAUAUAAUAAUAGAAAUUGCAUUAGUUUGGUGUAAACAUCCGGUGCGGAUAAGUUUUUUCCUUUUUUUUUUUGUUAAUAAUAAAUAGUUAUGUUGGAGAGAGGUACUAAAAUUAAAUAAGGCCCCAAUUAAUAAUAAAUAGUUUGUGUUAGAGAUAAAAUAAAAGUUAAUAAACAUUUCUUCUACUAAAAAUAUUGAAACAUCGUCAAAACAAUAUGCUUAACAACAGUACCUUUUAAAUAAAUCUAAACACAAAUUAUUAUUAUUUUUAAAAAUAUUUUUCUGAAAAAAUUAUUUUAAUAAAAGAGUUUACAAAAAUAAAUAAACUUAAACUUAUAGGUUAAACAACCCGUAAGUUCAACAUACUAAUGACGUAAAAAAAACAUAUUCAAAUAAAGUUAAUCAUUAGAUAAAUAUCUUGAUAAGCCAUAAUUAAGAAGGAAAAAAAAUAAUCUACAAACACUUUUUAAUUUACCUAAACACUUCAAAAGUAGGGGUGUGCAUUCGGUUUUUUGGUUUGGUUUUACACUAUUCGGUUUGGAUUUUCGGUUUUUGGUUUUGUAAAAAGUGUAACCAAAUCCGAUCCAAAAUAAAUUUGGUUUGGAUUGGUUUUCCUCUAUUCGGUUCGGCUUUUUUCGGUUUGGUUAUUCGAUUAUGUCAAUAAUUAAUAACAUAUAUAACCAAAGUAAUAAUAUUUAAUCCCUUAAAUAUACUUUCUAAUAUAAAUCAUGAGUAAAACUUAAAACACAAUACUUACAACUAUACCUAUUAUAGAUGUAAUUCAAACAUAAAAUAUAAACGUAAUCAUCACGAAAGACAAUAACCAAAAAGGGA